AAAAAAGGGAGGAGGUUUCUGGUCUGAGAGCUGGGUGGAGAGUAAAAGAAACAAAGGGAGAAAAAUAGAGAGGGGCAGCUUGGUUUUGGGCAUGAAAGCUUCGGCGAACCGAGGAAAAAAUCAGAAAAAUGAAGAAGGAAGAAAGCUGGGGAAGACAGAGGGCUUUCAGCUGAAAAGGGAAAGAAAAACUAAGGAAAAAAAAACAGAAAGAACGGAGGGCGGCUAAGGCUGAUGAUCUGGGCAACGAAAGAGCUGGAAAAAGCUAAGAAGAAAAUCGAGAGAGCUCUCGGACGGAGGACUAAGUAGGAAAUGGCAGCAGCAGCGCGCCACAGCCUUCAUCCCCUGCUGCCAUUCCCGAGACCAGCGUUCCAGAAACCGCCGUUGCUCACCGAGCCAUCACCACCUCGUCGGACAUCCAUCACCAUCGUCUGCAAAUCUUCAACCGAACAGAUGCGGUAAGUCAUCUUCCUCCCUUUAAAAAUUCUGUCUUCUCUUCCAGCUUAGACCCAUAAGAAUCUCAAAACAGAGAUUAGCUUAUUGUGAUUUUUAUGUUGAUUGUGCGCAAUUUUGAGCAUACUUGCUUUCUGUAUUGAUUGGGAUUGAAUGUCUUUAUGUUUUCUUACCAAUUCUUGGGCUGAUUAACUUCAAAUUGAACAAAGAAUCGGUGAAAUUUCUUAUACUCAUUUGGUGUUCGACGAAAUGCCCAGCUAAAAAUUCUUAUUGAAAGAUGCUUUGUUUGCAUUUUUUUUUUCGUGUGAAGAAAUCGGUUAAGUUGGUCAAUUCGUUUCCUCACGUUUGAGAAAAUUUUGAUGCAUUGCUGUCUUCCAUUUUUCCGUCUCUCAUGAUUCCGGUCGAAUGAACUCAAACUGAAAUGGUAUGAGAAGAAAUUUGUGUGAUUUUCAUGUUGAUUGAAAAAGGCUAGAAUAAAAACUGAUUUCUCGAAUUGGCUCUGUUGUAAGAAAGACGGAAGUGUCGGAUUGAUGUCUGAUCCGUGGGGAAGAAGACCGGUUGUCCAAAAUUGCAAUUUCAGUCCCUCCAUUUUCUUUUUGUUUUGUGAUUUAGUCCUGGAUUUUCUGAGCUUCAUAAUUUGCCUCCAACACCUUCAUAAGUUCUUCAAUUAGGUCCCUGCUUUUGUUACAUUUGAACCCCUCAAGCUUCCCCUUAUUCUGCUAUGGCCCAAAGCUUGGAAUAAUCUAACCUAUUUCGCCCUUUUUAAGUUUAACCCACUUUUUACAUGUUUUAUGUGAUUUUUGGAUAGAUUAAUGCUGGGAUUUGAUGCAUAAUUAGAGGUUAGCAAACUUUAGUUGGGUUUUUAUCUUGUUGGGUUUCAUAAAAUAAAAUUAGGUUUGGUUUGGACUUGUUGUUUGGGUUUGACAAAUGAAUUAAUGACUUGUUUUUUCUGGGUUGUUGACAUGGGCUGGAGAGAUAAAGCCCAUAUGUUUUUAGUUGAGUUUUGCUUGGACUCAAAAUAGGCUGGCCUGCUUGCUCUCUCAGGGCUUCCGAUUGGGCCAAGUGAGUUUUGGCCCAAUCAAAUAAAUAAAAUAGCCCAGUGGCCUGAUCCAUUAAGAAAUCAGAGAACGAAUUUGCAGAAUGGUCCUCGGACUUUUUCUUAAUUAUGCUAUGGCCCUAAAACUUUAGGCGUUUUCUAAUUGGGUCCCUAAAUUAAUUACAAAUAGGUCCCUAAACUUUAUUUUUCUUUAAUUUUUGACCUCAAAACUUUGUUAAUUUUUACAAUCAAGUCCUUUCUUCUUUUGACUUCUUAAAUGUGGGUUGUUUAUAUGAUUUAAUUGAUUCAAUUUCACAAUUCAUUUUUAUCUUUUAUGAUUAUUUGUUAAUUAAAGUGAUGCCUUGACCUUUUCUUUGUAUUUUGGAGGGUAAAUAAGUGAUUUCACUUCAUUAGAGCCCCAACUCAAGGGAGGUACACCCUAUCCCUUAUUUUGACUUAUUUGAUCCUAUAUGCACUUAUGUGAAAUUAUGUGUGAAAUUGCAUGUUUCUUUUUGAAUAUUCUCAUUAUAUUUGUUCAUUUAGUUACUUUAUUUGUUUUAAUUUUGUAUAUUUAUUUUAUUUUAAUUUGUAAUUAUUUGAGAGGGCAAUUAAAUGCCACAAUUGUAAUAGUUAGGUUAUUAUAUCAUUUUAUUCUUUCCCCCCUUUAGAUUGUAGUAGGGUUUCCCGAAUGUAAUAGUUAAGGCUUUAUUUGUUUUAUUUGCCUUGUGUGUUUUUGUAUGCCUAUGUGUUAUGUGUUACUUGCUUUCCUAGGGUCUUGCAUCUAGACAUGAUGCUUAUGUGUUAUGUGCUAUAUGUGAUUUAUGUGUUUAUUUGCUUUAUUAUGCUUUAUCUGAUUUCUUAGACUGUAAUAAAUGCAUGUUAUGACACUAGUCCAAUGCUAGCUGUGAUUUCUUUCCCGUCACCACACUAGUCCAACGCUAGUUGUGGCUCUUUGUUCCGAUUUCCCACUAGUCCAAUGCUAGUGAGGAUCCAAAGACAUGGGUUAGUCCAAUACUAGACCCUUAGGGACCUCCCUCGCUAGAUCAUGUUUGUAUGAUUACAUUACAUUUCAUGCAUAUUGUCGCGCCCCACUUUUUGAUAGGGUGAAUGUAGUGUGUGGGAUAUGUAUGUGAACGUGUGCGAAAAUGAAAAUAAAAGGCCGUGGGAUUGUGAAAUGCGACGGUUUGGCCAAACAAAGUUUCAAAAAGGGUUUUUUUUUUUAAAAAUGGAGUCGCCACUUGGUAUAGAGUUAGAGUGUACCAAGUCACCCAAAAAGUGAUUUUUUGGAAAAAAAGUAAACAAACCCUUUUUAAAGAAUUUUUAGUUCUACGUAGCCAAAGAAAGGGAUCGGGGGUCACAUUUGAUAAGGAAGAAGGCAAAGGAAGAAGGCAAAGGCAAAGCCUAAGACACUCCCUUACCCUAUCCAAAGCUAGUUGCGUAACUUAGCCCCUCUUUUCCUAAUUUCUUCUACCCAAAGUAUGUGUUGCAUGUUGGAUAUGACUAAUGGAUGAAAAAAUGUAAUCCUAAAUCUAAAAUGUCUCUUAUGAGGCUUUUUGGUCCCAAUCACAUGAAUUGUGAUGGCCAGUAAGAAAAGCCCUCAUAGAGGUCACGAGUAAUGCAAAUGAAGACCCAAAUAUGAAUGCGAGCGUGAAAAUGUAAGCGGAAUGCAAAAUAAAAUACAAAUGUAAGUGCUAGUGUGCAAAUGUAAGAAAGGUGCAUGUGUGCAAAUAUAAGAAAAGUGCAAGUGUGCAAAUUGAGAAAAUAAAGGUGUUUGUGUGCAAGUGGAUGAAAAUAUGGUAUAAUAGUAGUAAAUGCAUCUAAGUACAAUUGGGUGCAGUUUGUGAGGUAGAAAAUAAAUGAUAAAAGAAAAAAAAUGUGCAAACAUGGCAUGUGGAUUGAGAAAAAUAUAAGUUAUGAGAAAAUGUGGAUAAAAGAGUGAGGAAGUGAUAUGAUAAGAAUGAGAGUGCAUGAACCUAGAGGAAUGCAUCAAGUCGGGUACGGGAAUGACUCCUAAUUUCACGACUUUAAUUUUCCCUUUGAUUAGAAGGAAGAACUAGCGUGCUAAGGCUAUUUUGUAGCCACACUCGCUCGUUUCCCUUAUCGAAAGGGGACUCUCAGGCAAAUGUACUCUACAACUAGCAUGAAGAUGCAAAAAUCUAAAAUGAAGGGGGAAGGAUUGGAGGAGCAUGCCAAAUGCUAAAAAACUAAAAAAAUGCAUGAAAUGUAGUGAAACAUGCAAGUAUGUACUAACAAGAGGUGACAGCGUCUAGCAUUGGACUAGCCCUUUCUAAAAUUCUCUCACAAGCAUUGGACUUGUAAGAGCUCAAGGGGACAACCAUGACUAGCAUUGGACUAGCCACGGUUACGUGCAUUUGCAUCCAUCAUACACAUAUAUAAGUAAUGUGCAUAAUUAAAGCAAGUAGGCAUGUGAGCACGUAAUUCACAUAGCACAUAAGCAUGCAUAUCUAGAUGCCAAAACCUAAGAAAGCGAUUAAGCACAUAGCACCUAAACAUGCAAAUCGCACAGGCAAAAAUAAAGCAAAGAAGCCCUAACUAUUACAUUUGAGGGGGGAAGCCUACUACAAUCUAAAAGGGGAAAUAAGAAGAAAUAAAAUGAUUAAAUCCCUAACUAUUACAACUUUGGCAUUCAAGUGCCUUCCAAAUGAUCGAAAUUAAAAAUAACUAUUCAAAACUAGAACAAAUAAAGUAAAUAAUAAAUAAAUAAAUAAGUAAAACGAAAACAUUCAAAAGGCACGCAAUUAAGCUCAUAAAUCACAUAAGCACAUAGGGUCAAAUAAAGGAGAAUAAGGGAUAGAGUAUACCUCCCUUGCGUUGGAGCUCUAAUGGAGUGAAAUUAUUUUAUUUACCCUCCAAAAACAAAGAAAAGUCAGGGCACCUCUUUAAUUAACAAAAUAAUCCAUAAAAAUGGAAAUUGAAUCACUCAAAGCGUUCAAAUAAACUAGACAGCUCAUAUUCAUUAAAUUGAAACAAACAAGGUCCCAAUUGAAGCAAUUAAAGAAGUUAAAUGGGCUAAUUUGAUUGAUUUUUCUAAUUAUUUGGGCCAUAGCAGAAUUGGACAAAAAGCAAGGGGUAAAAAACCAUUUUUUUAUUUUUGGUUUGCAUGCAAGCUUACGUAGAAGACAAAUUUCUGCAACUAAAGCUUUCUGCAACUUUUACUUCCGCGAGCUUCCUCCUCAUUCUACCAGGUAGAUUAAAAUGCGAAUCUCAAGCAAAACCCCAAGUUUGUCAAUCUAAGCUAACAAAACUUCAACCCAUUCAAUUAACAUCCUUAAACGCAAUCAUUCAUCCCCAGAAAAUCCCAUCGAAGCAGCUAGACAUAAAGAUGCAGCAAGGGUGCCAAAGGAGGAAACUUGCGGUGAAUCCAAUUAAACAACAGCAAUUCUGGGUUACUUGAGUGUUUGCACAACAAUAAGCACAACAACAGAGAAAAAAAAAAAGAAGAUGACAGCAUGCAUGCACACGAGAGCUGCUAGCCAUUCGAAGUUUUCAUUGCUUCUGCAAUUUUUCUGUUGCAAAACUGGCAGCUUCAACUUCAAUUAGCACAACUGAUGCUUCAAAAAAAUGCGAGGGACUCUAUGGCUGCAACGAAUGGGCUUGCCAUGUUGCAGCCUGCUGUGACGCCGCUCCUUGCUGCUUUAAAUUGCAGCAAGCAUAUACACAGCAUCACUAACGCACAGCAGACAGACCCAAAUGAAACUCAAGCCAAACCAGAACCUCAAUCACCCCAAAAAAAAAAUCAGUUUUGUCUAAUCGCUGCAACAACCAGAAGCUUCGAGCUUGUUGCUUGUUGCAGCAGAUUUCCGUGCACAAAUCCCAGCCGAACACAGCUUGAAACCAAACAACAGGCUUACCAAAUGCGCUUCCCGCAGCACCAAGAAAAUCAGAAUAAAAAAAACAUGCAAAGUUGGAAAAUUUCUGCGGCUUCACAAUUCAACCAAAACAGAUUCAUGCGAAGUGAUUUGAACCAUACCUUUUGAUAUAUCAACCAUACUUAAAGGCCAUAACUGCUAACAUCACCAAAACAGAACUACCUACUUCCAACAGAUCCAAUAAUACAGCUAAAUACGGAAAAAAUGCAGUGAAACCACAAAGAAAGAAACUUGCAGCAAACUCGACGUGGUACACCAAUCAAACGACCAGCAAACUCCAAACUUCAGACAGACUAAAAGCUUCAGCAUCCCAAAAAGGAGAAUGAUUCUGCCAACAUGGCUGCAACUCUUAUGUUUAAACACACAAACAAAAUUCAGACGAAGAAAGCUUGCAAAUCUAAAAAAAAAAUUCUGCAACUUUCUUUUGGCAAACUUUAGGUUUAAGCAUCAACUAAAUGGAGCUAGGAAUGACUCCUAUACUCCGGGUUUCAUGAACUAUAACAACACACGAUUCAAACACAGAGACAUAGAGCUGAAACAAGUUAUCACACGGCCACACGGGUUUCUACAAAGAAACAGAGAUGAAACCACAAAGAAAGGAAACAAAACAUGCAUGCACAAGGAGGAAAUUCAUGCAAUGAACCCCAGAUCUUCACAAAAUGGUAUGAAAAUGACAGCAAGAAAGGCUAGAGUCACCUGCAAACGUCUGUGAAGUAAACCAAACGGGAAAGCUCAGGAAAUUGACGUUGGUUUCUGGGAAAAGACAACGCCCAGGCAGAUUUGUUGCAGCGGUAGCAACACCUCGUUUUCCCUUUUCCUCUGUUGUUUUCUUCCUUUCAGAUCUCUCUCUACCGCCCCUUUACUUCCCCAGAUCUUCUCUGAAACCCUUAGCUCCAGAAACCUAGUCGUCAGUUCCAGAUUCCCAAGGCCCCAGCCGCUGCACCUUCCUCCUCUCUGGUUUCUUUUUCCUAGCUGUCGAACUCUCCCAGUUCCGUUUCCUCUCCAGCUCUCCCUUUUCUCUCUUCUUUCCGACCGAAGCUCUCUUGUCACCAGAACCCUAGCCGCCUCUUCCCUCCGUUUUUUCCUCUCUCUCUGCCCAGAAAACUCUAUCUCUCUCGGCUCUUUUCUCUCUAGCUAUCCACGCCGUCAAUAGCCUCUCUCUGGUUUUUCCUUGCCCUUUUUCCAAAAGCUCUCUCAGUUUCACCUCCAAUCUCACACAGAAACUCAGCCCUCUCUCUCGCUUUCUCUUUCACUCUUUCUCGGCCCCUUUUUCUUUCAGCUAAACUCCCAGCCCCCUCUCAGCCGUCAACCUCUCUGUCCUCUCUCUCCUGGCUGCGGCUAUCCUUUUUAUAGGAACCCCCAAUCCCUAAACCCUCACCUCAAAGGUGAGGAUAGGGGAUUGGUUUCUACCAAGAUUUCCAGCCCUCCGAUCUUCCAGCAAUCUCCCCGUAAAAAAUGACAUCCUCUUUUGCCGCUGCUGCAUGCACGACACAUUGUCCCUUUUUUUUUUUUCAAGAAAACAUUGAAUUUAAAACAACUACAACUAAAGCAUAUUUUUUGAAUGCUUUUCUUUUCUUUUCAAAAAAUUCUAUGUUAAAACUUAAAAAUAAAAAUAAUAAAAUAAAAAACUAAAAAACUAAAAACUAAAAAGUGAAUAAAACUAACACGACAAAUAAAAAUUAAGACAAAAUAGUAAAUGCAAAUUACACUAAAAUUUUGGUGUCUACACAUAUCUUUCCAUUUUUUUAGGAUCUUUAUCAUUUUUACAUAAUAUUUCCCCUAAUAAAAUAUCCAUUAUCCCUUUGUAUAUAUAACAUUUAGAUUUGCAUCUCAUUUAGGAAAUUAGGGGGUAGAUUAGUGCAUUUUGCCUGAUUAGACUAGAGAUAACCCCUUAAAUAUGGGAUAUGGAUGAGUUUGGCUUUCUAAGCCUUAGCACGCUCGUAUUCCCUCUAUUAAAAGGAACAUUGAAAGUCACGAUCGUAAGUCCCCGCACCCAUCAUGAUGCAUUCCUUUAGGUCAUACACAUUUGUAUAUUAUUAUUUUCUCUACUUUUCCUUUCUUUCGAGUCUCAUGACUUGCAUUAUUCGUGACUUUUUCAAAGAGUUUUUAUUGGGGUCACAAUUAAUGUGAUUGGUACCAAGUAAGCUUUGAAGAUGCAUUUCGACCCCCCGACACCCUCUUAGGUCUAGGGUAUGCAUUCAUAUAGUACAUCCAAAUGUGAUAAAUCUUAAGGGUAAAAUAAGAAAAUCUUUGACUAAAUCGCGCAACUAGCCUUGGCUAGGUUGAAAGGGUGCCUUGGAUUCUUAUCCUUGCCUUUCCUUUCUUCAAAUGUGACUCCCGAAUCUUUUUCUCUGAUUUUUGUAGACUUGGAGUCGUUUAAAAAGGGUUUUUCUAAUUUUUCUUUAAAAAUUCAUUUUUUGGUGACUUGGUACACCUUAACUCUAUACCAAGUGGCGACUCCAAUUUUCAUUCAAAAAAACCCUUUUUCAAACUAUAUUUUGGGUCAAAUCGUCGCAUUUUCAAGUCCCAUUUAGACCCAUGUUUUUCAUUCUCUUCUUAAAUAAAAAAUUCAUUUUCCAAUCAAAAAUUGAACCAAAAGCCAUUUUUCUAAACUCGUCUUUUAUUUUUCUUUAUAAAAAAUGGGGCGCGACAGUUGGCGACUCCACUGGGGACUUAGAGAGUCCGAGCAUAUUGAUUUAGUCGAAACUUUUCUUCUUUUAACCUUUUCAUAUAUCGCAUUUGGAUGUUUAGGGUUGCAUUGUUUCUUUUUUAGGAUUUUUUGCAUUCCACGCGUAUCAACUCACUCCCUCGCCUAUUUGCGUACGAUUGAUUUGAUGGAUGGAUGGCUUAUUUAUGUGAUCCUGCGCCUUGCAUUGCAUUUUGGGUGGGGGAUAUUACCCUAGAGUCUCGCGUUGGUUCUCAAUCCCUCCCCUCCAAACGAGCACUAGCAUACGUGCAUACGAUUUAUUUUUUAUUCCUCAUUUAUUUUUCUUUUAGUGGCUUAUCACGCCACUCCACCCUAUUAGGAUUUUAGGCGACUCACUUGGACUUGUGAUCGCGACACGAUGUGUAUGUAGCAUGAUCCGAGGGGUCACUCGAUCUUCCAUUUUAAGCUUUGGGUUGAUAGCCUUUAGCUUUUAAUCGAAGGUUGAGGAUUUUCGAUAGAUUCACUCAUGACAUGUAGCCGUGACACGAUGUGUGCGUAGCAGUGUCUGGGGAAUCGCUCGAGCCACCGACAAGAAACCUUGGAAGUGAUGACCUUUGGUUUCCAAGUCUGAAAGCUCGGGGACCUAAACCUAUCGAGUCUAGAUGCAUUAGUGAGCCAAUACCUCAUGCAUCCAUGAUAGUUUAUCUAGGGUAGAGUCUGCCUUACCCUAUUAGGGACACUAUUCACGAGGGGAGGGACCCAACCCCUCUAUUUCUUUUAUUGCUUUAUCUCUUUGAAUUGUUACAAAUGUGUUAUGUGUAUUUAUCUGAUUGAACUAACUUGUCUUGGGUUUUGUCUCCAUUGCAUUCAUAAGCCCCAGGAAAUAAGAGUCCUGACAUGGUACUCUCUAGGAGCCUACCCUAUUUGAUAUGACACGUUUAAAUUCAAUGUUCCGCAUUUGCACCAUGAAUCUAUUUCAUUUUAGGCUCACCCCGACAUACAAAAAAGGGUUCCCGUAGGACACGUUUCAUUGGUGUACUGCAUAUUUAGUCGCUUUGAUAAACUGGCAUCAUGCAUCCACCAUAGAGGGAAUGCCAUUUAGGGGAUCCCGUGCUAAGGAUAAAUCGCCAUGUAUCUCGGAUAUAUAAUCCAAUGAGACUUGCACGUUUAUAUUUCUUGUACUAUCCAAAGGAGUAGUGUACGAGGUAAGGUAGGAUCCGAUCUUUUCAAAGAGGGCAAAACAAUUUUUGCACAUUAGAAUAUGAGCAUCUAACAAUCAUUUUUUGGCCAUUUUCAACAUAGUUGGUAAAAAUCCCUUGCUUAAAGGACAUUGACCUGAAGAAAUUCACAGAUAAUUCCCCAUUGUUAAGACGAUAAAUGUAUUGAGACCAAAUUUUGAUUUUAGGAGGCUCAUAAACUAAUGCAUCGUAAUGAUUUUCUUGAAACUACCAAUGGGUAGACAAUUUGAUCAAUUUUUGAAUAAACCAUCAAUUUCAUUUAAUUCAUUGGACCAUUUUAUUCAUCAAUUUCAUCCAAUUCAUUUUGUCAAUUCAUUCAAUUUUAGGACAAUCUAAUCAUUUUUUAAUAAAUCAUUAACUCCGUUCCAUUCAUUUGGCCAAUUCACCCGUUUUUAGGGCAAUUGAACCAAUUUUGAAUAAAUUAUCAAUUUCAUUUGAUCAAUUUACCCCUUUUAGGGUGGUCCGAUCAAUUUUGGAUAAAUCAAAUUCCAUUCAAUUCAUUUGACUAGCUUACCUAUUUUUAGGGCAAUUCGAUCGUUUUUGAAUAAAUCAUCAAUUUUAUCCAAUCCAUUUGACCCGCUUUUUCCCCUUUAGGGUUUAAGUCUAAGGUUUACUGAAUAAAUUAAUCGAGACAUUACAAUUUCUUUUGCACAUCAUUUUAUGUGUUGAUCAAAGCAAGCAAUCGAUUCGGACUUCGUCCUCAUUUUUUUUAGGACAAAUGUCUCUUCUCACUCCAAUUGGCCAAAAUUUUCAAAUCAUUUUUCACUCAAUCAGUUGAUCGGAUUCAUCAGGUAUUGUAUCGUGCCUAUUUUAGAUGAUUGCAUUUUCAUGCUAGGCCUACCCUUGGCACUAAAAGGGUUCCCCCAUAGGACAUGCAUACCGAUUUUAUAAUCUUGCCUACUAACUCGAGGUAUUUUUUGUUUUGUUUUUCCCCCCUCCCAUGCAUUCAUAAAAAUGCUUCAAUAAGGUAAAGAAUAUUUUUCUAUAUCUGAUGAUAAUUUUGAUCUAAUAAAGUGUCAAAAUUACAAGUAUUAUUUGAUUUUUGGGCAGGCCUUACAAUGAAAACAUGAAAGAUCCAUCUGAAAGCUCUAGGUUAAAGUCUCUCAGAGACUUUAUAAUUAUUUUUCAAAGGAAAAUUCUGUUUAUUUGAUUUGUUAAUACAUUUUUUUCAAAAGAAAAGGAGACAAAAAGUAUAUAUGUGGAGCUCUUUAGAAGUUUUCUCUUCUCAUUUGUAUUAUAAUUGAACGAGAAAUUUUGUUUUAAACUUUUUCAGCAAUAAAGUUUUUAGACAAUUAUUAUUUUGUAUAUAUUUAUGUACAUUUCAUUCUUUUACUCAUUAGAGAUUUCAUGAUGAAUUUUAAGAAAAUAAGACCAAAUUGAAAUUUCUCAACCUCCAGCCUGAAAAUUCAUAAGUGUAUGCUUUCUAAAAUCCUUACGUACACUAGAUUGGUGAUCCGAAUUAUACAAUAAGAGUGCUCAGAGUAAAAAAAAAAAAAGAAAAAAAAAGGUGAACGGUCACUCAAAAGGUCCAAUGAGAUACCUUUUCUCUUUCACUUAACCCCAAAAUAAAAUCAGUCACAUUGAUUGAUAAAUUGUAAAUUGGGGCAAUCUUUGCUUGAAAAAUGUCUAUUGUGUCUAAUUAUAUUCAAUUCACAUCUAAGUGAAAGCAAGAAUGUGCAUUAUUCUUGUUUGUUUUGAAAAUUUGGAAUGAUACUUCGAGCGUUCAUUUCUCUACCCAUACAGAUUUUGAUCAUUUGCUCUCCCAUUUGAGUCUUUAAAAGAAUAAUUUCGUUUCAAAUAAGCGUCUUGAUGAUCCCUACAUUGGAAAAUUCUUAAAUAUAAAAAAGGGAGUGGAUUUUUAAUGACCAUUUCGUUACUUUGGUUGUCAUGAGGUGUAAGAAUGAUACUUUGGCCAUCGUUUCUACAACCUAAACACUAUUUAUCCCUUGUAUCCUCAUUUGAGUUAAACUGGGUGGUUCUUUUCAAAAGCACUUACGAUCGCAUCCCACAUUGAGGAAGGAGAUUGGAGAAUUUUCCAAGAGGAGAAAGAAAAAGCAAAAAUGCUAAAAAUUAAAAGAAAAUAGGGAAUCACAAAUUGGAGAAAUUUGAUUCUACUUUGGCUUCAAUUUUGAAAAAAAAGAAAGAAGAAAAGAAAAGAGAAAAAGAGAAAAGGAAAAGGAAGAGUGUCCGGCAAAUCAUCUAUGUUUCACAGAUAUGGAUGAACGGGAGUCAUCCUCAGUUAAUUACUUCAGGUACAUGCGAGAGAUUUCGCAUUAAUGAAAAUUUUCUUUCAGGGUUAAUGUAAGGAACAGAAUAAAAGUCAAACCCUCUUCUUUUCCAAUUCAACAUUCUAUCCCUAGUUAUCCUUUUUGAGCCUUCAGAAUAAAAUAUUUCGUUUGGCAAUCCCUGAGUAUCGCAAACCCCACACUGAGGCAAGUUUGAGUUGAAAAGGAAAGAAAAGUCCCAAGAGGUGAAAAGUGAUAAAGCAACAAAAUCAAAAGUAAAAAAAAAAGAGAACCUCGGUUAAGCAUAAAUUGGGACAAAAUUUGAAAAUUUCAAAGAAAUGGCAGAAGGCUGAAAAAAAUGAAAGAAAAAAGGAGGCUCAAUUGAGAAUAAACUGGGGCAAGUUAUGAUUUAACCCUAAAAGAGGGUUGAUACAAUAAUGCGAUCUCAGAUCAUUUAAACCAUUUUUAAAAUCCGCUUUCAAGCCUUAACUUUUCUAAGCACCCCACCAGACCCCAUUGCAAAAGCCGAAAGUCCUGACUUCUGUUCUUUGCAAUUGUCGCGCCCCACUUUUCGAAUGUUGAUGUGAAAUGUGUGAUGUGAUGUUUGUGUGGUGUGUGAAGUGUGGUGUGUGAACGUGUGCAAAAAAUGGAAAAGGCCAUGGGACUUUGGAAAGCGACGAUUUGGCCAAAAAAUAGUUUUAAAAAGGGUUUUGAAAUAAAAAGUUUGGAGUCGCCACUUGGUAAUGGUUUAGGGUGUACCAAGUCACCCAAAAAAUGAGUUUUAAAGUCAAGUAGUAAUAAACCCUUUUUAAAACGACUCCUAGUCUACGUAAGCCAAAGAAAAAGGUUCGGGAGUCACGUUUGACAAAGGGGAAGGCAAGGAUAGAAUCCAAGGCACCCCUUUGACCUAGCCAAGGCUAGUUGCGCGACUUAACCUUACCUUUCCUAGUUUUCUACCCAAUGUAUGUUCGCACGUUGGAUAUGACUAUAUGAAUGCAAAACGGAAAGGAAAAUGCAAUCCUAGAUGCUACGAUGUCUCUUAUGAGGCUUGUGGUCCCAAACCACAUGAAUUGUGGCGGCCAACAAAGGAAAACCUCAUAGAGGUCGAUUAAUGCAAAUGAGAUUCGAGUGCGCAAGUGUGAAGGUGUAUGAAAGAAGUGUAAGUGCAAGUGCUUGUGUGAAAUUGUAUAAAGGUGCUCGUGUGAAAUGGUAUAAAGUUCAAGUAUUUUCGUGUGCAAGUGUAUGAAAAUAGAAUAAUAGAAAUAGAAGGUAAAGUGGAAUUUCAUUUGUGAAGUGAAAAUAAGCAAGUGAUAGGUAACAUGUAGUAAAAAGGUAUGGUUUGAGAAAUGUGAAAAAAUGUGAUUAAAAGAGUAUGUAGGUGAUAAAAAAUGAAAGUAUGAUCCUAGAGGAAUGCAACAAGUCGGGUACGGGGGUUGACCCCUAACUUUUCGACUUUGAUUUACCCUUUGAUUAGAAGGCAAAACUAGCGUGCUAAGGCUAUCGGGUAGCCACACUCGCUCGUUUUCCUUAUCAGAAGGGGACCCUCAAGCAAAAUGAACCCUAUAGCUAGUAUGGGAUGCAAAACCUAAAAUGAGGGGAAAGGGAGUCGAGGAGCAUGCCAAGUGAUAAAACUAAGAAAAAUGCAUGAUAUGUGGUGAACAAACAAAUGAUAUGCUAAUGAGGGGAAAACCCUAAGAGUCUAGCGUUGGACUAGCCCAUUCUAUGAAUUCCGACUAGCGUUGGACUAGCGGAAACGUACAUUCAUCCAUUCCAUUCAUUCAUGGCUAUGAAAGCAAGUAGACAUGCCAAAAUACUCGUAAACACAUAGCACAUAGCAUUUAGCAUGCUCGACUAGAUGCAAGAGCCUAAUAAAGCAAUUUAACAUGUAGCAACAAAAACAAGCAAGCAAGGGGAAGGGGAAGUGGACCAGAUGCUCUCCGAGCCCUAUCUAUUACAAGCCAAGAGGUGUACACAUACCCCAUAAAACUUAAAUAAAAGCAACCAAGGGGAAGGGGAAAUGGACCAAAUGCUCUCCGAGCCCUAUCUAUUACAAGCCAAGAGGUGUACACAUACCCCAUAAAACUUAAAUAAAGGUAAAAGCAAGUAAAUACAUGCAAGGAGGUAAUGAAAGCGGAGUAGGCAUGCGUAUUCACAUAACACGUAGGAGCACGUAGGAAAAAUAACUCAAGAGUAUAGAAGUUACCUCCCUUGCAAUGGAAAUCGAGUAAAUGAGAUUAGCUUCAAAAUAAUAAAAAGGGUCAAGGUACCAAUUUAUUGAUAAUAUAAACAAAACCAUCAAAAUUCCCACAAUUGCAACUCAAAUGAAAUCACGCAGUGCAUAAUUAUCAAGAAGAGUGGAAUGACCCAUCAAAUUCCCAAAUAUGGCAACCACUAAUCUAAGCAAACACAAUCAAAGCCAAAUGAAUCAUUCAAGAUCUACAAAGGUCCCAAAAUAACAAAGCCCAGUAACGACUCAACUUGUACCCACCUUAGGACCCAGUUGGAAAGGAGAGGGAAUACGAGGGGGUCAGGACAUCUCAAAUUGACCAUUAAUUACACGAAUUUGGCCCAUCGAAAGCAUUUAAACAAUUGCACAACUGGUGAUUCACAAAAUUAGGAUUAAAUUGAAAAAGAAAAGAAAGAUUGAGGGAUCACUUUGAUAGAUUUUUCAAUGGUUUGGGCCAUAGUGAAACAAAGGUAUGCUCGGGGGGUCAAAGUGCAAAUUCAGAAAUUUAUUUCAUGCAUGCAACGUGAACUAAAGCCUUCAUUACUUCUGCAAUUCUGGUUUUCUUUCCUACAUGAUGUGCCGUGCUUCAUUUGUCACCGAAAUGCAUCACCAAAACAACUUGAACCGAAAUAAACCUCAAGAUGCAAUUCUAAUCAUUACCAAACUUAAUGCCACACUUUUAUUGCAAGAUUGAGGCAGCAAAACUGAGUUGAUUGACUGUCAAAGAUCAAGAAAAACAGCAAAAAAGAAUGCCGCCAGAAUUUCUGCAAAAGCUAGGAAGCUUGCUGCAAUUUACGUUUCCAAGUGCAGCUUUUAUAACUGAGAUUAUGUAUUUCAAAAAACAAACCUACAACUUUAGGCUAAACAAAACACAUGAUCACCACUAUCAAAACAAGCAGAAGACUUAGGACAAGAUCAUGCAAAAAUUCUGGAGAAUAACAAGGGUGGUUCAGCGAUUUGGUUGUUCAUUUUGCAGCAAAGCAUUGGAACAUGAUUCAAAGGUUUUAAGAACCCAAACAUGCCAACCCAAAACAAACUUCACCCAGCCAACUCUUCUCUCCACAUAAGAUCAGGCAUCAAGUUAGAUGGCCAAAAAUUUGGUGAACAAUUUGCAGGAAAGAAAACAGCAAAGAGUAAGACCGAAUGCAGCAACCUUUACUUCUCCUAUCUUGGUUUAAAUGUAUUGGCAUGGUUCAAAUGUAUUGGCAUGCAAAACUCAAACAAAUCUGGACAUUUCCUAAACAGAACAGCCACAGCCAAGGUAGUUCAAAGAAAAACAAACAACGGCAAGAAGUAAGGAAAAUGCAAUCUUGGCCGAAUAGAUAAAACUGCAGCAGAAUUUCUGCUAUUUAGCACUUUACAAAAUCCAGCUUUCGAAUGCUAUCAAAACCCAAACAAAACCCCCAUACAAUCCUCUCACCUUGCCACAUGAAACUUGUAGAUCUAAACACCAAAAAGUCGAACGAAAGGACAUGCAAAUCUGGACAGUUCAAACAAAUGUAUGCAAACAAAAACUCCAAGCAAACCGAAGCUUCUUUUUUUUGAAAUAUUUUCAGCCAACAUCCUUUCUGUAACUUGCGGUCGUUUCCUUUCUAUCAUUUCGGCACACACACGACUCAUUUAUAAACUCCAAUGAAGCAUGUAGAAACCUCAAACUGAUAGCCCCAAAACUCAAACUGACUCACUUAGGAUCUAAACAGCCGAAAACAUGAUACAAAAACAUGGCUUCAGUAACUACCGUCCACAAACGGAUGUUUUAUUCAUAUAGUGUCAGAGACAAAUAUUGACCAAAAUGCUAAAACUAAUGAACUGGGCUUCUGGAACAAAUCAUACCCAGAAAUUUAUGAAAUCAUACCAAAAUGCUAAACUAGAUUCGUUCAUGAAAACCCCUACAAAAUUUAUGAUUCCUUUUCUGCAAUUCUCAUUCAUACGUUUAAAAGAACUCUGAACGAAAUCAUGCAAAGCAUCUGGGAAAAUUGACAUUCUGGGCGCACGCAGCUAACAAGAUUCAUCAAAGUAGCAAUCUUUUGAACCAACACACACUUUUAAACCACUCCCAGCAUCAAACAGAUCAAAUGUUUCAUUCCAACGCGAAAUUAUAGUAGAAGAGUGGAACUUUUAGCUGCGGAGAAAGAUAAAAGAAACGGUUACCGUGAGAAUCCUAACACCAGAUUUAUGAAGGCCCGCGAACUUGCUGCGACCUUGAUGAAGAAUCCGCUGCUGGUUCCUCCUCUUUACUUACGUAACUCUGCUUUCUUCUUUUCCUCCCAAUCAGAAACCAGUCGCUCCUUCUUCUCCGUCACCUUCCGCUUCCUUUUUCCCUUUUCGCCUUGCUUCACUUAGCUAUCCCGCCGCCCCUUUUUCCUCUCAAACCUCUUUGUUAGAAACCCUCGCAGUCCCCUGCGUUUUUCCUUUCCAGAUGCCACCCUCUAUUCUCUCCUUCCCGAUCUCAGCCGCCCCUUUUUAUCUCUCGGCCCUUUUUCUUUUCUUUUGCUUGUGUUUCUAUCUCCCCGGACUCUCCCCCGUUUUUCAAAACUCCCCAGAUUAUCCCAGCUUUCUUUUCACUCUCUCUCUAGAACCUAGCCGUCACUUCACCCUUGCGGUUGGCCAAUCCUCUCCUCUCCUCACAGCUUCGUCUUUUCUUUUUCUUUUGUUUUGCAGCCGUCCACUCUCUAAAGCUCUCACUUUCUCGCUUCUCGGUUUUGCUUAGCCGUCGACCCCCCAAAAAUCUGCCUUGCGGCUGUAGCUCUUUUUCCUUUUAUAUCAUCUCCCCAACCUCCUAAACCCUCACCUCAACGAUGAGGAUGAGGGGCUUGUCACCCCCGUAAAAUCUAGCCCUCCGAUCGUCCCUUGUAGAUGUCCUUUGCACGCUGCAAAAAAUUGCAGCGUGCAUGCCGCGACAAGCUAUUUUUUUUUUUUUUUACGAAGAAAACAACUUGAAGAUUACAGAAGCUGUAAAUAAUAAAAUAUAAAUAAUAAUAAUAACAAAAUUACACAAACCAGGUAAUAAUAAUAAUAACAAAACAAAAAUAAUUUUAAACAAAAAAAAAAAACUAAACAAAAUGGCCAUUUUUAACUUUCAAUUUUCCUCUUUUCAUCAUUUUCUUUUUCUCAAAAUAACUUAAUAAAAAUAACUAAAGUGCAAAAAGGUUGAAUGUAAAGAAAUAAACAUAUUUUUGUGAACCAAUUUUUCCUUUCUUUUCCAUUGUUUUUUCCAAGAAACCUAAAAACCUAUUUUUUGAAUUUUUCUUUUCAAGAAAGCAUUGAAUAAAAACAAAAUGACUACAACAUAUUUUUGAUGCUUUUCUUUUUUUUCUUUUUUCUCUUUUUUUCAACAAAUUCUAUGAUAAAACUUAAAAAUAAAAAUAAAACUGGAAACUAAAAACUAAAAAUGAACACGACAAAUAAAAAAACUAAAAAUGAAAUUACACCAAAAAUUUGGUGUCUACAGUUUGCCCCUCUUUGUCCGAGUUUUGAAAAAACUUGAGACAAAGAAGUAGACACCAAAUACUUACCUGUGUUAUUCGGCUACAAAAGAUUCCAACGAACAGGAAUUCUAAUACGGGACUGACCCAAACAUGAAAAAUAAAACGGGACUGACCCGAGUAGGAAUUUAAAACGGGACUGACCCGAACAGGAAUUUUGAAAUCGGGACUGACCCAAACAGGAGUUUAAAAUUGGGAUAGACCCACGGGAUAGACCCGGACAGAAAUGUAAAAUUGGGAUAGACCCACGGGAUAGACUCGGACAGAAAUAUAAAAUUGGGAUUGACUAGAGAUAGAAAAUUCAAAUCAUGGGACUGGCCCGAACAGGCUUUAAUCACGGGACUGACCCGAAUAAGCUUUGAAUUGUGGGACUGACCCGAAAAUGCUCUUGAUCAUGGGACUGACCCGAAUGAGCUUUUGAUCAUGGGACUGACCCGAAAAUGCUUUUGAUCGUGGGACUGACCCGAAUAAGAUUUUGAUCAUGGGGCUGACCUGGAAAUAUUUUUGAUCAUGAGACUGACCCGGCAAUGCUUUUGAUUAUGGGACUGACCCGGAAAUGCUUUUGAUCCUGGGACUGACCCGGAAAUGAUCGUGGGACUGACCCGGAAAUGCUUUUGAUCCUGGGACUGACCCGGAAAUGCUUUUGAUCGUGGGACUGACCCGAAUAAGCUUUUGAUCGUGGGACUGACCCGGAAAUGCUUUUGAUCAUGGGACUGACCCGGAAAUGCUUUUGAUCGUGGGACUGACCCGGAAAUGCUUUUGAUCGUGGGACUGACCCGAAUAAGCUUUUGAUCGUGGGACUGGCCCGGAAAUGCUUUUGAUCAUGGGACUGACCCGGAAAUGCUUUUGAUCGUGGGACUGACCCGAAAAUGCUUUCGAUCAUGGGACUGACCCGAAAAUGCUUUCGAUCAUGGGACUGACCCGAAAAAUGCUUUUGAUAAAAUUUGUGUUGAUUUCUGAUUGAUGAUUUUUCUUUUUGCUUUUCUUUUGACUUUUGAAAAUCUUUCCAAGAAAUUAAUUUGCCCCAGUAUGAUGAAUUUUUGCAAUGUGAGUCCAGAGUUGAUUCCAUAUCGCCAUGCUAUUGCAUUUUUGAUGAAAUUUGCUUGCGACAUUUUCAAUCUGCCUUUGUUCACCGGAGGACUCUUUCCGACACCGAUUCCAGUGCGAGGUGUGAUGACUUUCAUUUGUGCAUGCGGUUUUUCUGCAAAAGAGAAGAAACAAAAGAAUUGUCACCAUCAUUUGAUCCGCUUGCCUUUUGAGAAUCGUGUAAACAUAAGCCUUUUGAUGCCUUCGUCAAAGUUGGCCGCGGCAUCUGACUUGGUUGGAUUUUUCACCCUAAGGCUUUUCCGAUUUACAAACUGAUCCGGUAUGUGCUUUGCCAUAUUGUGAAGUCUGCAUAACUGACUUUGUUGAACCUUAACCCUUUUCAGGAGAUGACUGAACCCAAGUAUGCUUCGAAUAAACCACGGGGGUUGUCAUUUACCACAAUUCAAAGAUAAAGAAUGAAGUAUGCAAGAAAAUUCACUUGUCAUACAAGAAUGCACACAUAACCAUUUGUGCUUAAAUUCUACAAAAAUGCCAUGAAUGCAAGUAAUUUGGUAAAAAUGAAUUUCCUAAGAAUGUAUUUGCCAAAAAAAUGCCUUUCAAAAUGACCCAGUUUUGGCCAACAAAUGUCAUAUUCAAUUCUCUGGAUAUCUUUGUUCUGGAAUUCAAAAUUGACAGAAGUAAGACAAAAAGAGGAGAAAUCCAAAUGAACCAAAUCACUAGCUGUUCUUCCUCGUGCUCGCUUGCUGCAAAAUCCUACCUUGGCGCCCUUUCGGGUUUUCACCAAGGUUGCCCCUUACUUCUUGUUUUGUUUUGUCUUUUCUCUUGAGGUGCCCUUUUUCCUUUUUGGCGCCCUUUCGGGUUUUUACCUAAGGAAGCAAUGGAAGAGCUCAACCUUAAUCGGCUCAGGAGUAUGAGUUAAAGACUUCUGACAUCAGUAAAAUGUACUUCCCCUUGUAAGAUUAAGCGAAGGCAUUAUGGACAUCACUUAUCAGUUGACUAGCAAACUUUCCAAUAGAAAUACAGCAAGUGACGAAAGCCAGGACUUUGGGCUUUUGUAAUGGGGUCUGGUGGGGUAUUUCAAGAAAAGUUGAGGCUUGAAAGCAAAUUUGAUGAGAGGUGUGAAAUAACCUGAGAUUGCAUCAUUUUGAGAUCAUCUUCAAAUUUUGAACAAAACUGAGGAAAAUUUGCCCCAGUUUGAUUGAAUUCUUCUUUUUGUGCUUUUCAUUGCAUUUUUCACAAUUGCAUUUUUCUUCAAAAACUAAAUUUGCCCCAGUGUGGGGUUCUUUCUUUUCCUCUUUUUCCUUUCAUCUCUCUUUCAAAGAUAAAUUUAUCCCAGUGUGGGGUUUUUCUUUCCUUUCUGAUCAUUUUCAAAAUGAAUUUGCCCCAGUGUGGGGUUUGCAGUUCUCAGGGGUUGCCAAACGAAAAUUAUUGCUCUGAUAGCUCAAAGGGGAUGACUAGGGAUAAAUGUUUUGAUUGGAAAGGAAAAUGGCCUGACUUGUGCCUCGUCCCUUGCACGAUUUCCAAAAAGAAACUUGCAUAAUCAAAUAAAGAACUUCUUACACAUGUCCGAGUUGAUAGGUCGAGGGAAUGUCUGUCCUUCCAUCUCUACCAAAAUGAAUGCCUUGCCAGGUAACACCUUUGAACAGCGAAUGGCCCUGGCCAACUUGGAGUGAAUUCGCCUUUGGCUUAAUCUUGCAUUGGCAAAACUCACUUUAACUCUUUGCCCUCCUUCUCUAAAGGACCGGUGGCGGACAUAGGUCAUGCUUUAUGACAUUCAGCUGUUUUUCAUUAAUUAGAAUUGGUAACCCUACUCUAACCAAUCAGCUUUGAGCUUGGCAGGGGAGGAAUUUUUAUCAAUGAAGGGAUUUUUAAUGAAGGGAUUUUGGCCUUUUCCAUGAAGGUUUUUCCAAGGAAUGGAUUUUGAAUGAAGGGAUUUCAAUGAAGCAAGUUUUAUAUGAAGGGAUUUUUCACUGAAGGCUUUUUAAGGACAGGAGUUUUAAUGCAGGGAUUUUUCAAUGAAGGCUUUUCAAUGUGCGGCUUCAUCGAAUUCCAGAACAGUGAUAUUCAGAGGGUCAAAUAAUUUCACCUUUGGCCAUCUUAAAAGAAUUUAAAAGAAUCAAGACAAUAAUCAAAUCAAAUAAAUUAUACACUUCAUGCAACUCCAAAUCAAAGCGGAAACAAAACAAACUCAAUUGCAAAAGACGCUUUCAUUAAGCUAUGCACAUAUGCAAGAAAAAGUUUUCAUGAAUUUUAGCAAACGACAACCCCUAGACUUAUCAAAAUUCCCUUCAAGAGGGAAGAAACUCGGCCAUCCAAAUUGUGCAAAGCUCCUUCAGGAUUUUCAAAUUUCGUCGUUGGAGGUGGAUGUCUCGAAGGUGUCCUGGUGUUCAGGAAAAGGAUCCGUACUUCUGAUCGGCCCUUGUUCACCUCUUUUCCUUAGCACUAUUUCUCCUGCCUCGAUCAUGUCUUGGACUUUGUGCUUAAGUGCCCUGCAAUCGGCGGUUGAGUGGUCAGGUACUCCCGAAUGAUAGGCACAAACAGCAUGUGGAUUGUACCCAGCAGGCAUGCCGUGAAGGUAAGUUGGAGGGGGAAUCACGCCUAUUUUGUUGGCAACCUUCAAUUGCUCAUACAUUUGGUUCAAAGGCCUGCCUAAGUUGGUGAAGGUUCGGGUACGGCUUUGAUUGUAGGUUUCAGUGGGUCGGGGAUAGUUGUAGGUGGGUCUAUUUGGUGGGGGAAAUCUUUGGUGGUAAGGAGGCCGAGGACGAGCUUGUUGAAAGCUUGGUUGAGAUAUUUGGAAAGGGGUUGUAGGCGGGUUGGCAUAAUUUGAGCGAGGUCGAGGAUGAGUGAUAUUGGUGUGGUAAACAGGAUGAGGAUUUGAGUAGUAGGGGUAAGGGUUUGAGUUGGUAGGGUUUUGUCGAGGUCUGGGUCUUGGGACAGGGUUUUGAUUCCAGGUAAAGGCAAUUUCCCCCUCUUUCUUUUUAAAUUGCGGGUUCUUCUCACUAGUCCCCGGUCCUUGCAAAGCAUCCAACUGGGAUUUGAGGGCAGAGACAUUAACAAUCUUCCCAACUUUUACGAAGUCAUCGUACUCCUCAAGUUUAUUAACAAUGGCGGCGAACGAGCAUCCAGUCAUGCGGAAAAUUUCUUCAAAAUACGGGGGAUCAUGUGCUUUAAUGAAAGUCCGUAUGAUUUCGUCUUCAGUCAUCGAUGGCUCAACUUUUGCAGCUAUUGUCCUCCAUCUCUUAGCAUAGGUCUUGUGAUCCUCGGAGGGUUUUCUUUUUGUUCCUUCCAACGUGGUUCGUGUCGGAGCCAGCUCGCAGUUAUACUCGUACUGCUUUACAAAAGCGUUGGACAAGUCCAGCCAGGUCUUUGCUUCUUCGGGUUUCAGCUUGGAAUACCAGUCGAGUGCAUCCCCCUCCAGACUUUCCGGGAACAGCCGUAAAGGCAAAUUCUCGUCGUCUAUGGGCCUUCCCAAUUUGUUGGCAAACAAGCGGAGGUGCGUUUUGGGAUUGCCAGUUCCAUCGUACUUGUAAAACUUAGGGGUUUUGAACCCCUCAGGCAAUUGUACAUUUGGAAAGAGGCAAAGCUCAUCGUAAUCCAAGACUCCUUGCUUGUUUAACUCCUGACUCCUUCUCAUAAAUUCAUCAAAACGAUCGAGGCGUUUGAGCAGCUUUAUAUCAACGGGAGCAGAAGAUUCCCCCAUUUCUGCCUUGGCUUGAACAAUAUGGUCUGGUAGGAAUGGCUCAGCAACAGGGUGAUAAAAGGUAUGUGGCUCAGGUGGUAUAUUUGAAGUGAUUUGGGGUGGUGGACCUCGCGUGUGAGUAAGAAAAAAUGAAGGAUGAGGAGGGUAAGUGUAUGGCAAAUGUAUGGUAGGAUAGGUGAAAGUUCCUUCGGGUGGAAUAAUGAAAGGUGGAGCAAAAGUGGUUUGGGUCGUGGCUAUGCCAAACGAUUCUGGCUCCGGCUGACUGACGGGUUCAGGCUCAGGUUGAACUCCACUACUGAUAAGCUCAUCGAUUAAUUUCUUUCGGGCGGCCAUUUCAGUUGCCAUUUCACCAAACUUCGUAAGCAUCUCGGUCAGUUGGACCCCCAAACUUGCAGUCUCAGGUUGAGCUGUAGUAGCAAACUUAUCCGACAAUUCCGGUUGCGAACUCAUGUUUACACGACUCCUCUGGGCUUGACUACGGGAUCGCGUUAUGAUGGGGCUUCGACGAGAAGCUAUAUUUAAAUAUUACCUGAGAAUUUUGAAAGGAAUUGCCUUUAGAUAACCCUUGCCUAGUUAUUACAAUAAAAAUAAAGAAAAGAAAAAGGCAAGAGUUAGUAGAUAUCCAGGAAAUUCGGAUGCAUGUCCUAUGGGGGAACCCUUUUUGUGCCAAGGGUAGGCCUAGCAUGAAAAUGCAAUCCUCUGAAGUAGGCACUAUACCAUACCUGAUGGAUCUGAUCAACUCAUUGAGUGAAAAAUAAUUUUGAAAAAUUUAGUCAAUUGGAUUGACGAGAGACACUUUGUCAAAAUGAGGUCAACGUCCGAAUAGAUUGAUCACUUUUGAUUGAUACAAGAAUUUGCAAAAACGCACGGGUUUUGACUUUGACGAACUUCCUAUCGAAGAAAUUGGAAUUCGUUAACAAAUUUUCUUAGUGAAACGCAGGUCAAAAACUCCAACUGAUCAAAUGGAUGGAUGCAAUGGAUGGUUUUCUCAGAAAUCGACUAAGUUUCCCAAUUUGAAAUUGACAUUGAAACCCUAAUUGGUCAAAUGGGUUGAAUGAAAUUGACCAUUUAUUUAAAACUCGAUUGGAUUACCCUAAAAAGGAAAACGGGUCGAAUGAAUUGAAUGAAAUUUAAUUUACCCAAAAUUAAUCAAAUCACCCUAAAAAGGGUAAAUUGAUCAAAUAGAUUGAACGAAACUUGACUUAUUCAAAAUCGGCUCGGUUGCCCUAAAAAUGGGUGAAUUGGCCAAAUGAAACGAAAUGAAGAUUUAUUCAAAAAUCGACCAGAUGACCCUAAAAAGGGUAAAUUGGUCAAAUGACCCUAAAAAGGGUAAAUUGGUCAAAUGAAUUGACGAUUUAUUCAAAAUCGACCAGGUGACCCUAAAAAAGGGUAAAUUGGUCAAAUGAAUGAAUUGGUCAAAUGAUGAAUGAAUUGACAAAAUGGAUUGGAUAAAACGGAUGAUUUAUUCAAAAAUUGACCGAAUCGCCUUCAAAAAAAGGUAAAAUGGUCAAAUGCAUUUAUUCAAAAUUGAAUGGAUAACCCUAAGAAUGAAUUAAACUAAUCAACUGAAUUGAAUGAAGUCAAUUGAUCAAACAGAUCGAGUGAAAUGAUGAUUUGACCAACUCGCCCUAAAACUAGGCAAAUCGAUCUAAUAGAUCGAAUGAUUGAUUCAAAAUUGACUAAAUCGCCCUAAAAAAGGUAAACUAGUCAAAUGAAAUCGGAUGACUUAUUCAAAAUUGAUUGAAUUGACCUAAGAAAUGAGUAAAUUGGUCCAAUGAAUAAAAUGGAGAUUGAUGAUUUAUGCAAAAAUCGACCAAAUCACCCUAAAAGGGUAAAUUGGUCGAAUGAAUGAAUGAUUUUUCAAAAAUCGACCUGAUGACCCUAAAAAGGGUAAAUUGGUCAAAUGAAUGAAGUUAUUCAAAAUUGAUUAGGAAUUGACAAAAUGGAUCGAUUGAAUCGUUCGGCCAUUGGUGGUUUCAAAAAAUUAGUCUAUGAGCCUUCUAAAAUCACGAUUUGGCCUCAGUUUAUUAACUGUCUCAAUGAUAAGGAAUUAUUUGUGAAUUUCUUCAAAUUAAUGUCCUUUACGCAAGGGAUUUUUACCAAUUUUUGAUAAAAUGGCCAAAAAGUGAUUAUUAGAUGCUCAUAUUCCAAAGAUUACUCUAUGAAAAUGAUCGGAUCCUACCUUACCUUGUGCACUAUCCCUUUGGAUGGUACAAAAUGUAAACGUGCAAGUCUCACUGGAUUAAGUAUCCGAGACACAAAGGUGGCUUAUUCCUAAUGCGGGAUCCCCUAAAUGGCAUUCCCUUUCUAGGGUUUAUGCCUGAUGCCAUUUAUUAAAGCGGUAAAAUGUGCAAUUCGAAAUGAAACGUAACCUAAAAGAACCUUUUAUACGCCAAGGUGGGCUUAGAAUGCUAUGCAAUUAUUAAUCUAUGAAUGCAAUAUACCAAAAUCUUUAAACGUGCAAUAACCUAUCUACGAGGGUAGGUUCUAAAAGAAGGUCAUGCCAGACCUCUUAUUUGCUAGGGUUUGUGAAUGCAAUGGGGACACAAAAUCAGGAAAAGUUAGUUCAGCCAAGAUAAAUACACAUAACACAUUGUAGCAACGAAAUCAAGCAAUCAGUACAAAGAAAUAAAGCAAUAAAAGGGAGAAAGGGGUUGGAUCCCUCCCCUCGUGAAUAGUGUCCCUAGCUCAGGAUAAGGCUGACUCUAUCCUAGGCAAGUUACCAUGGAUGCAUGAGGUAUUGGCUCACUAAUGCAUCUAGACUCGAUAGGUUUUAGGUCCCCGAGCCUUCAGACUUGGAAACCAAGGGUUAUCAAUCCCAAGGUUCUUUGUCGGUGGCUCGAGCGAUUCCCCAGACAUUGCUACGCACACGUCGUGUCACGGCCACAUGUCUGAGUGAAUCUAUCAAAAAAUCCUUAAUCUUCGACUAAAAGCUAAGGGCUAUUAACCCAAAGCUUAAAGUGGAAGAUUAAGUGACCCCUUGGAUCGUGCUACGCACACGUCGUGUCACGAUCACACGUCCAAGUAGGUCGCCUAAAAUCCUAACAGGGUGGAGUGGCGUGACAAGCCACUAAAAGAAAAAAUAAAGGAGGGAUAAAUAUAUAAAGCGUAUGCACGUAUGCUAGUGCUCGUUUGGAGGGGAGGGAUCAAGAACCAACGCGAUGCUCUAAAAGGUGACACACCCCCUCCCAAAUGCAAUGCAAGCGCGAGAUAAACAAGUAAACAUACAUCCAAUCAACCAAUCACACAUACGUGAGUGAGGGAAAAGUUUGAUACGCGCGCGAGGCGAAAAAGUCCUAAAAUAAAAAGUGCAACCCUAAUAUCCAAAUGCAAUGCAUAAAAAGGGUAGAAAAAGGAAACGAAUGGCUAAGUCAAAUGCUCGGACCCACUUAAGAAGUCCCCAGUGGAGUCGCCAACUGUCGCGCCCCACUUUUCGAAUGUUGAUGUGAAAUGUGUGAUGUGAUGUUUGUGUGGUGUGUGAAGUGUGGUGUGUGAACGUGUGCAAAAAAUGGAAAAGGCCAUGGGACUUUGGAAAGCGACGAUUUGGCCAAAAAAUAGUUUUAAAAAGGGUUUUGAAAUAAAAAGUUUGGAGUCGCCACUUGGUAAUGGUUUAGGGUGUACCAAGUCACCCAAAAAAUGAGUUUUAAAGUCAAGUAGUAAUAAACCCUUUUUAAAACGACUCCUAGUCUACGUAAGCCAAAGAAAAAGGUUCGGGAGUCACGUUUGACAAAGGGGAAGGCAAGGAUAGAAUCCAAGGCACCCCUUUGACCUAGCCAAGGCUAGUUGCGCGACUUAACCUUACCUUUCCUAGUUUUCUACCCAAUGUAUGUUCGCACGUUGGAUAUGACUAUAUGAAUGCAAAACGGAAAGGAAAAUGCAAUCCUAGAUGCUACGAUGUCUCUUAUGAGGCUUGUGGUCCCAAACCACAUGAAUUGUGGCGGCCAACAAAGGAAAACCUCAUAGAGGUCGAUUAAUGCAAAUGAGAUUCGAGUGCGCAAGUGUGAAGGUGUAUGAAAGAAGUGUAAGUGCAAGUGCUUGUGUGAAAUUGUAUAAAGGUGCUCGUGUGAAAUGGUAUAAAGUUCAAGUAUUUUCGUGUGCAAGUGUAUGAAAAUAGAAUAAUAGAAAUAGAAGGUAAAGUGGAAUUUCAUUUGUGAAGUGAAAAUAAGCAAGUGAUAGGUAACAUGUAGUAAAAAGGUAUGGUUUGAGAAAUGUGAAAAAAUGUGAUUAAAAGAGUAUGUAGGUGAUAAAAAAUGAAAGUAUGAUCCUAGAGGAAUGCAACAAGUCGGGUACGGGGGUUGACCCCUAACUUUUCGACUUUGAUUUACCCUUUGAUUAGAAGGCAAAACUAGCGUGCUAAGGCUAUCGGGUAGCCACACUCGCUCGUUUUCCUUAUCAGAAGGGGACCCUCAAGCAAAAUGAACCCUAUAGCUAGUAUGGGAUGCAAAACCUAAAAUGAGGGGAAAGGGAGUCGAGGAGCAUGCCAAGUGAUAAAACUAAGAAAAAUGCAUGAUAUGUGGUGAACAAACAAAUGAUAUGCUAAUGAGGGGAAAACCCUAAGAGUCUAGCGUUGGACUAGCCCAUUCUAUGAAUUCCGACUAGCGUUGGACUAGCGGAAACGUACAUUCAUCCAUUCCAUUCAUUCAUGGCUAUGAAAGCAAGUAGACAUGCCAAAAUACUCGUAAACACAUAGCACAUAGCAUUUAGCAUGCUCGACUAGAUGCAAGAGCCUAAUAAAGCAAUUUAACAUGUAGCAACAAAAACAAGCAAGCAAGGGGAAGGGGAAGUGGACCAGAUGCUCUCCGAGCCCUAUCUAUUACAAGCCAAGAGGUGUACACAUACCCCAUAAAACUUAAAUAAAAGCAACCAAGGGGAAGGGGAAAUGGACCAAAUGCUCUCCGAGCCCUAUCUAUUACAAGCCAAGAGGUGUACACAUACCCCAUAAAACUUAAAUAAAGGUAAAAGCAAGUAAAUACAUGCAAGGAGGUAAUGAAAGCGGAGUAGGCAUGCGUAUUCACAUAACACGUAGGAGCACGUAGGAAAAAUAACUCAAGAGUAUAGAAGUUACCUCCCUUGCAAUGGAAAUCGAGUAAAUGAGAUUAGCUUCAAAAUAAUAAAAAGGGUCAAGGUACCAAUUUAUUGAUAAUAUAAACAAAACCAUCAAAAUUCCCACAAUUGCAACUCAAAUGAAAUCACGCAGUGCAUAAUUAUCAAGAAGAGUGGAAUGACCCAUCAAAUUCCCAAAUAUGGCAACCACUAAUCUAAGCAAACACAAUCAAAGCCAAAUGAAUCAUUCAAGAUCUACAAAGGUCCCAAAAUAACAAAGCCCAGUAACGACUCAACUUGUACCCACCUUAGGACCCAGUUGGAAAGGAGAGGGAAUACGAGGGGGUCAGGACAUCUCAAAUUGACCAUUAAUUACACGAAUUUGGCCCAUCGAAAGCAUUUAAACAAUUGCACAACUGGUGAUUCACAAAAUUAGGAUUAAAUUGAAAAAGAAAAGAAAGAUUGAGGGAUCACUUUGAUAGAUUUUUCAAUGGUUUGGGCCAUAGUGAAACAAAGGUAUGCUCGGGGGGUCAAAGUGCAAAUUCAGAAAUUUAUUUCAUGCAUGCAACGUGAACUAAAGCCUUCAUUACUUCUGCAAUUCUGGUUUUCUUUCCUACAUGAUGUGCCGUGCUUCAUUUGUCACCGAAAUGCAUCACCAAAACAACUUGAACCGAAAUAAACCUCAAGAUGCAAUUCUAAUCAUUACCAAACUUAAUGCCACACUUUUAUUGCAAGAUUGAGGCAGCAAAACUGAGUUGAUUGACUGUCAAAGAUCAAGAAAAACAGCAAAAAAGAAUGCCGCCAGAAUUUCUGCAAAAGCUAGGAAGCUUGCUGCAAUUUACGUUUCCAAGUGCAGCUUUUAUAACUGAGAUUAUGUAUUUCAAAAAACAAACCUACAACUUUAGGCUAAACAAAACACAUGAUCACCACUAUCAAAACAAGCAGAAGACUUAGGACAAGAUCAUGCAAAAAUUCUGGAGAAUAACAAGGGUGGUUCAGCGAUUUGGUUGUUCAUUUUGCAGCAAAGCAUUGGAACAUGAUUCAAAGGUUUUAAGAACCCAAACAUGCCAACCCAAAACAAACUUCACCCAGCCAACUCUUCUCUCCACAUAAGAUCAGGCAUCAAGUUAGAUGGCCAAAAAUUUGGUGAACAAUUUGCAGGAAAGAAAACAGCAAAGAGUAAGACCGAAUGCAGCAACCUUUACUUCUCCUAUCUUGGUUUAAAUGUAUUGGCAUGGUUCAAAUGUAUUGGCAUGCAAAACUCAAACAAAUCUGGACAUUUCCUAAACAGAACAGCCACAGCCAAGGUAGUUCAAAGAAAAACAAACAACGGCAAGAAGUAAGGAAAAUGCAAUCUUGGCCGAAUAGAUAAAACUGCAGCAGAAUUUCUGCUAUUUAGCACUUUACAAAAUCCAGCUUUCGAAUGCUAUCAAAACCCAAACAAAACCCCCAUACAAUCCUCUCACCUUGCCACAUGAAACUUGUAGAUCUAAACACCAAAAAGUCGAACGAAAGGACAUGCAAAUCUGGACAGUUCAAACAAAUGUAUGCAAACAAAAACUCCAAGCAAACCGAAGCUUCUUUUUUUUGAAAUAUUUUCAGCCAACAUCCUUUCUGUAACUUGCGGUCGUUUCCUUUCUAUCAUUUCGGCACACACACGACUCAUUUAUAAACUCCAAUGAAGCAUGUAGAAACCUCAAACUGAUAGCCCCAAAACUCAAACUGACUCACUUAGGAUCUAAACAGCCGAAAACAUGAUACAAAAACAUGGCUUCAGUAACUACCGUCCACAAACGGAUGUUUUAUUCAUAUAGUGUCAGAGACAAAUAUUGACCAAAAUGCUAAAACUAAUGAACUGGGCUUCUGGAACAAAUCAUACCCAGAAAUUUAUGAAAUCAUACCAAAAUGCUAAACUAGAUUCGUUCAUGAAAACCCCUACAAAAUUUAUGAUUCCUUUUCUGCAAUUCUCAUUCAUACGUUUAAAAGAACUCUGAACGAAAUCAUGCAAAGCAUCUGGGAAAAUUGACAUUCUGGGCGCACGCAGCUAACAAGAUUCAUCAAAGUAGCAAUCUUUUGAACCAACACACACUUUUAAACCACUCCCAGCAUCAAACAGAUCAAAUGUUUCAUUCCAACGCGAAAUUAUAGUAGAAGAGUGGAACUUUUAGCUGCGGAGAAAGAUAAAAGAAACGGUUACCGUGAGAAUCCUAACACCAGAUUUAUGAAGGCCCGCGAACUUGCUGCGACCUUGAUGAAGAAUCCGCUGCUGGUUCCUCCUCUUUACUUACGUAACUCUGCUUUCUUCUUUUCCUCCCAAUCAGAAACCAGUCGCUCCUUCUUCUCCGUCACCUUCCGCUUCCUUUUUCCCUUUUCGCCUUGCUUCACUUAGCUAUCCCGCCGCCCCUUUUUCCUCUCAAACCUCUUUGUUAGAAACCCUCGCAGUCCCCUGCGUUUUUCCUUUCCAGAUGCCACCCUCUAUUCUCUCCUUCCCGAUCUCAGCCGCCCCUUUUUAUCUCUCGGCCCUUUUUCUUUUCUUUUGCUUGUGUUUCUAUCUCCCCGGACUCUCCCCCGUUUUUCAAAACUCCCCAGAUUAUCCCAGCUUUCUUUUCACUCUCUCUCUAGAACCUAGCCGUCACUUCACCCUUGCGGUUGGCCAAUCCUCUCCUCUCCUCACAGCUUCGUCUUUUCUUUUUCUUUUGUUUUGCAGCCGUCCACUCUCUAAAGCUCUCACUUUCUCGCUUCUCGGUUUUGCUUAGCCGUCGACCCCCCAAAAAUCUGCCUUGCGGCUGUAGCUCUUUUUCCUUUUAUAUCAUCUCCCCAACCUCCUAAACCCUCACCUCAACGAUGAGGAUGAGGGGCUUGUCACCCCCGUAAAAUCUAGCCCUCCGAUCGUCCCUUGUAGAUGUCCUUUGCACGCUGCAAAAAAUUGCAGCGUGCAUGCCGCGACAAGCUAUUUUUUUUUUUUUUUACGAAGAAAACAACUUGAAGAUUACAGAAGCUGUAAAUAAUAAAAUAUAAAUAAUAAUAAUAACAAAAUUACACAAACCAGGUAAUAAUAAUAAUAACAAAACAAAAAUAAUUUUAAACAAAAAAAAAAAACUAAACAAAAUGGCCAUUUUUAACUUUCAAUUUUCCUCUUUUCAUCAUUUUCUUUUUCUCAAAAUAACUUAAUAAAAAUAACUAAAGUGCAAAAAGGUUGAAUGUAAAGAAAUAAACAUAUUUUUGUGAACCAAUUUUUCCUUUCUUUUCCAUUGUUUUUUCCAAGAAACCUAAAAACCUAUUUUUUGAAUUUUUCUUUUCAAGAAAGCAUUGAAUAAAAACAAAAUGACUACAACAUAUUUUUGAUGCUUUUCUUUUUUUUCUUUUUUCUCUUUUUUUCAACAAAUUCUAUGAUAAAACUUAAAAAUAAAAAUAAAACUGGAAACUAAAAACUAAAAAUGAACACGACAAAUAAAAAAACUAAAAAUGAAAUUACACCAAAAAUUUGGUGUCUACAGCAAUAUCUUUAUCAAGAAACUUUCUAAUUAAUGUGCAAGUGAUGCUUAUAUACUGAUGCCAGGAAUUUUUUAAAUGUAUUUCUGAAUUGAUUAGCUGUGAAGUUGAUAGUGUUCAUUAUGUGAAAACCCGCAAGGACACCUUUGGGAAAAAGAAGAAAGAAAAAGCAAGGGAAAUAAAUGCAAAAGAAAAAAUGCAAAAAGAUUCGAUGUUGAAGUCCCUGUUGAGUAAUUAUAAAAGUCAAACAAAGGUCAAGAUCUUUGAGUCCAAAUUGGGGCAAUUCUGGAAAAAUACGAUCUUCAGUGCAAUGUCCUUGAAAGUCUUAUUCUUUAACUAUCAUUUUCAAGCCACAUUACAAGCUCAUAAAGUCCAUCGCUGACUUAUCCUUCAUGACAAUCCAAAGUGAGAAUUAUGCUCAUAAGAAAUCCAUCAAUCAUUUGUGAUCACAAGGGUAUAACCAGUUUUCACAUGUUUAGCUAUCGUUUCUAUCCAUAAGUUGCAAGCCUAUAAAGUUUAAAUAUUGACUAAGUUUUCUCAAAAAAUAAGAGUGACAAACUAUUUACUUUCACUAAGAUGUGAUAUUGAAUGGAGUACAUACAAUUUGGGCACAAGAAUAAAACAGAUCCUAACUUCCCAUUUUCCUUAGUCACCUCAAAAAGCAGAAAUAGCACCCACUUGAUUGGUCCUGAAAGACGUGCUAACAAGAAGUGGUGACCCAUUACUCUAAGCAUCGAUGCUAAGGUGAGAAAGAAAUCUUCUGUAAUUUGGUAUUAUUUCGAGAUAUUCCUCAUGAAAUUUUCUGUUAGGAAACAUAGUUUCUUACAUUGUUCAAAUAAAUGGAGAGUCAUCCAGACAAAUUUUUGCAAUUAAAUGGGCCCAUACUAGGGCAAAUUUUCAUUUGAGAGAUUUUGCAAAAUGGGCCCAUACUGGGGCAAAUUUUUAUUCAUGAGAUUUCACAAAAUAAGCCCAUACUGGGGCAAAAAUUUUUGUAAUACAUCUGAGAAUUUAAUCCAAGAAUCAAAUAAUAUACUUUCAAAUCAAUCACGCUACUCUUUUCAUGAGUAAUAGUUGCAUUAAUUUUCAAAAUAAGAAAUUUAAGUGCAUGUUGUACUUUGGUAAGCCCCUUGUGCAGGAAUUCAUGGCUUGAAAUUGAUGAAAAGGCGUAAGUCAGAAUCUUGGGAAUUAAGGCCUUAAGGAGGAGCAACCAUGCCGUAACGCAAAUCAAAUGAUCGGCUGCAUAAUAAUUGGUGGAAAUUGGAGCAAAUUAUUUUUGAGAAGAUUCUCCCAAAUGGAAACAUUGGAAAAAUCAAGGAAAAAAAAAAGAAGAAAAGAAAGAAAGAAGCACAAGACAAAACAAAAGGGGUGGAGGCGACCUUAGCGAAAACCCGAAAGGGCACUAAGUGCUUUCGCCAACACCGGACUCAGGAGCAGAGAUAUUUGAAAGGGCCAAGGCUGACGUUUCAUGCCAAAGGUUUUGCACAGUGUAUGAUCAUAAUCAUGGGAUUUGGGCAAGUGACAAUCUUUUGAUUUACUAAAAGCGCAAUUGGAUCUGUUCAUCCUUGGGAAAGCACAAUGGAACAACGAACUGCUGACAAUCUUGAUUCUAGACAGAGAAGUUUUGUUUCAAUGGAAUGCCAAAAAUUGAAAGCCUUAAAGUGGCUUGUUGUGAAAAUAGCUCGUCGAACAAAAAUGAAGAUCACGUUGGGCCUGAAUUUUGUGCCGCCAACAUCUCGUUGGGUUUGGACUUUAUGUCGCCAAUGCAACCAAGGCAGGCUCGGGUGUAAUCCCACUGACCAAUUCAUCAUACUGGGGCAAAUUAUUUUGGAAAUAAAAAAAAAAUUCAAAAAGUCAAAAAAAUUUAAAAAAAAAACAAAAAUCAAAAAUCAAAAGUCAAAAGUCAAAAGUCAAAAAAUCAAAAAAUUCAAAAAAAAAAAUCAAAAAUCAAAAAUCAAAUCAAGUUUCAUCACGGCAGGUUCGGGUUUAAUCCCACUGACCGAUUGUCAGAACAUUUUUCAUUUGCACUGCCACUAGCCAUGGGUCAGUCCCACUAGUGAGCAUUUCAUUUUCACUGCCACUAAACAUGGGUCAGUCCCACUAGUGAGCAUUUCAUUUUCAUUGCCGCUGAACAUGGGUUAGUCCUACCAGUGUGCAUUUUAUUUUCAUUGCCGCUAAACAUGGGUCAGUCCCACUAGUGUGCAUUCCAUUUAAAUUUCCUGUUUCAGGUCAGUCCCGAUUUUAAAUUUCCUGUUCGGGUCAGUCCAGAUUUUAAAUUUCCUGUCCGGAUCAGUCCCGUUUAAAUUUCCUGUUUCGGGUCAGUCCCGAUUUUAAAUUUCUAUUGGUCAGUCCCGAUUUUAAAUUUCCUGUUCGGGUCAGUCCCGUUUAAAUUUUCUGUUUCGAGUCAGUCCCGAUUUUAAAUUUCUGUUCGGGUCGGUCUCGAUUUUAAAUUUCCUGUUUCAGGUCAGUCCCGAUUUUAAAUUUCCUGUCCGGGUCAGUCCAGUUUAAAUUUCUUGUUUCGGGUCAGUCCCGUUUAAAUUUUCUGUCCGGGUCAGUCCCGAUUUUAAUUUUUCUGUCCGGGUCAGUCCCGUUUAAAUUUCCUGUUUCGGGUCAGUUCCGAUUUUAAAUUUCCUGUCUGGGUCAGUCCCGUUUAAAUUUUUUGCUCGGGUCAGUCCCCUUUUAAAUUUCUUGUUCGGGUCAGUCCCGAUUUUAAAUUUUCUGUUUCGGGUCAGUCCCGAUUUUAAAUUUCUUAUUUGGGUCAGUCCCAUUUUAAAAUUUUGUCAAAAAGGGUCAGUCCCUAUUUCUAAAGCGUCAGUCGUUCGAACAGUUUGCAGCCGAAUAACACAGGUAAGCAUUUGGUGUCUACGUCUUUGUCUCAAGUUUUUCCAAAAUUCAGACAAAGAGGGGCAAACUGUAGACACCAAAUUUUUGAUUUUUUUUAAACUUUGUUUAUUUAAUUAAUUAAUUAAUUUAAUUUUAGCUUUAUUUGUUCAUUUUUUUAGGUUUUUUAGUUUAUUUUAUUUAUUUUGUUUAUUUUGUUUUUGGUACUAAUUUUCAGGAAAAAAAAAAAAGAAAAGAGAAAAAAAAAGUAAAAAAGAAAAGUAAAAAAAAAUGACAAAUGGAGGGGGCAUGCAUAGGGAUGGCAAUGGGGCGGGGGUGGGCGGGGGAUCCUUCCCCUAUCCCCCGCCCCGUAUCCCCCGCGAAAAAAGAAAUUAACUUAUCAUAAAUAUUCAUUUACAAUAAUACAAUUAUAAAUAACGUUAAAUAAAAUUAAAUAGCUGUCAAGAUAAAAAUAAAGUAUAACAAGUCAAGUUACAUUCAUUCUAGUAUUCAAAAAAUUCGGUCGAGUUGAUUUCUCAUAUUCAACAAACUAAAAACACUCAACAAUAAAUUCAACUUUUCUCUUCAUUAAUAUAACUUAACAACUUCAGAACAUUUGCUCUUCGUCAACCUCGAGAUGUGAUAACUCACUUGAUAAAGCAAUCCUGACAUUUGAUGUUAAAAUAAAAGAAGAAUCUUGUCAACAGAGUAUAGUGUAUAACAAAUAAUUGGAGAAAAUCAAUUUAGAUGAAUCAAAUUUCUUUAAUACCUAUUCAGUAACACAAUCAACAUCAUCUUCUUCAUCAAAUAAUGUAUUACAUGACAUCCCUUCCGAAGUAGAAGAAGUAGCUGCACCAAAAAAAAUAGCCACUGAUUUACUAAAUAAAGAAAUGCAAAAAAAAAUGUAUAAAUUUAAAAGUAAAAGUUAAAUCUUUUGUAUACCAUUUAUUUCAUUCCAGAGCCAAGUGCGAGUACACAUCAAUGCUUCCAAGGUAUUAGCGUGAAGUUUACAUCGAUGAGGACUAAUUAUUCUUGCACAAGUACUAAAUGCAGAUUCAGAUGCCACACUUGAGACGGGUACAACUAGAAUAUCCUUAGCCAUUUUUUGUAAAGUGGGAUAUUUAACCCCAUGUGUUUUCCACCAACCAAGUAUGUCAAAAGUCGGAACUCUUGGUAACACAUUUUCCUCAAAAUAAAAAUCCAAUUCCGUCUUAGAAGUAACAUCCAUAGAGUUAGAAACCACAAACUUAUCAAAAUCAGCAAGGGGAUCCGUUUCAACUUCAUUCUUAUCAUGACUCCCACUAACAUGCUCACUAUGUGAAGCCAUGCACUGACUAUCAACUCUAUUUUCACCCAAACUAGAUCGGUAUUGAUAAUCAUGUAACAAAGAAUAACAAUUUUGACGAAUUGCUUCAAUUUUCAUGAAUGAUUCAUCACCAUAAAUGAUAGGAAAAUAAUACUCAAUCAACUUCAUUUUGUAUCUGGGAUCCAAAACUGCAGCAAUACCAAGUAUCACAUUACAAUCUUCCCAAUAUUUUUGAUAUUUUGCCAUCAUCUUUUCUGCUAUUACUCUAAUUAAACAAUUUGAAAUUUUCAUCCAUUGAGCCAAUGAUACCUUAAUGUCACAAACUUUUGCAAAAAAUUCAUUUGAUGUAGGAUAUCGAGUACCGGAGAACAUUUCAGUGACUUGGUAGAAUAAUUUCAACUUCUCACAAAUGGCAUUACAAACUACCCAAUCAUCAUCACUUGGCAAACUAGUGUAGUGUUUCUCACGCACUUUAACCCGUGGAAAUACGUCUUUAUAAAUUGCAGCUGUUUGCAACAUUAAAAAAGUCGAAUUCCAACGGGUUUUACAAUCCAAACACAACUUUUUACUAGAAGAAAUGCGCAAUUGGCGAGCCGCUUCUUCAAAAUUUUCAAUUCUAGCAGCAGAAGCAGUCCAAUACACCACAUUAUCACGAAUUCUUUCAAUACCACCCGAUAUCAUUUCUAAACCAUCUUUGACAAUCAAAUUUAAGAUAUGGGCAGCACACCGCAUUUGAAGCACUAAACCAUCUAUCAACAAAUCACUCACAUUCAACUUUUCCAACAAACAAUUAAUCAUGCCAUCAUUGGUGGAACAGUUAUCUAAGGUAAUCGUAGAUAUCUUACGAUCAAUAUUCCAAUCCAUCAAUGAACUAAGAAGCACAUCACUUAACACUUCUUUGGUAUGUGGAGCAGGAACAUAGAUAAACCUAAAUAAAAGAAAAAAAUAAGUUGCUCAUGUAUAACAAACAAUUAACAUAAUUCAAGUUUUUAACUUUUGAAAACAUACCUCAAAAUUUGACUUUGUAAGAUCCAAGACUCAUCAAUAUAAUGUGCAGUGAUAGCCAUGAAGCCUUUCUUUGUGUUGCUAGAAGUCCACAUAUCGGUUGUAACUGCUAUCUUACUUCCAAGCUUCUCCAAAAUAUUACAAUUCUUCAAUCUUUGCAAUUCAUAGAUCUUCAAAAUAUCUCCUUUAAUUGUAUUUCUUGACACAAGUUUAAAACAUGGCUGCAAACUCUUAACAAAUUUUUGAAAGCCUAUGUGAUCCACAAUAGAUAAUGGAUACUCAUGCAAUACAAUUGCAGAUGCAAGCUCAUGGCAUGACUGUGACGACUCCACUUCCCCCUAAGGCGAACCAGAGAGUUGGCGGGCCGUCUGCCUAGCUCUCGCCAGGACUCACACAAGUAAACUAUCCAACUCCUUUCGAAGAAUAACCUAAACUAUUACAACACCGUUUCCUUCCAAAUAGGCUGAAGACUAAAACCACAUUAACUUCAGAGAUAACAGCAUUUUUAAGAUAGCCAAUCGUCGACUCUUAAAUACCUUACGCGUUACAAACCAGGCAACAAAAACAUACAAUCCAAAUACAUUAGUACAAGCCAAAUAACAAUUCCAGGGUUUAUACUUUUCCAGCUUCCAGCGGCAAUCCAAAAUAAAAGUUACAAUGUUUAACUCAAACUACAUGCAUAAAAGUGAAAUUAGAUUUCAAGUCUUGCUCAAGUGUCAGGACCUGUCAAGGAAAACAAAUGAACGUGGGGUGAGCUAAAGCUCAGUGGUGCCCCAAAACAUGCAAUCACUUAAAUCAAACAGCGAGUAACAAUUUCACAAAUUGAACAAUUAGGAAAGCGUAUAACAGCACAAGAUAGGAUACAGGGCUCUCAGGAGCCAUUCUCCACGAACUUGAUCAAAAUUUUCCGUAGCCGACCCUCCGUCAACUUUCACUACCUAAGGUCCAUGUAGAUCUUCUUAUUUUUCUUAACUCCGGCCACCAAUCAUACCCCUUUACCAAGCCCGCACGACAAACACGAGAUUGGUAAUACUCGAGUAUACCUUAGGGACUGGUCGAGAAAUUCAUCCAACGACGUUGCGUCCAACAAGAGAUUGGGGACUAGUCGAGGAAUUCAUCCAACGACGUUACGUCCAACAAGAGAUUAGGGACUAGUCGAGGAAUUCAUCCAAUAACGUUACGUCUAACAAGAGAUUACCAGGUCAGGGUAAGAGUCCUUUCCACCAUUAAGGUGUAGUACACUCCCCUGCCUAGUGAUUAACAAGUGCAAGCAAGUAUUCAUGAAAACAUUUCAAGCAAGUCACCACUCGAACGGCUAGUGUGAUAAAGUACACACUGCUCACUUCGAUGGAUCAGAAACCAUUUUUCCAAAUAUCACAUAUCAAGUCAAGAAAGCACUUUAAUCAAGUAAGCAUAGAACAAGCAGGGACACUCACCAAGAAUGAAGUCACCAGUCAAGCUGGGAAUCAAAAUCUGCGUCCUCGCUAGAUCCUAGAAAACCAAGUUUUAAGAACUAUAAGUUUUCUAUCCAAGUUCUAGGUUUAUAAAUAUAAAAGAUUCUCUAGUAUAUAAAUAUUUUAUUUUCUCGAAAUAAUUCAACAAUCCACUUAAGACUAAAACUAGUAAAAGUAGCAAAAUAUUCCGUAUAGUUUCCUUAAAAAUACUUUUCUUUCUAGAGGUGCAACUAAAUCUAAUUUACUUGAAGUAAGUUUUCUUGCCGAGCAAGUUUUCUACGCUUUUUAGUUAAAAUUAUUAAAAUCUCGUAUUUUGUCAAUUUUCCUCUAGACAUCUAGCCAGGGACAAAUUUUAAGGAAAGAAAAGGAGGUAAAACAAGACUUAGGGUUUUUAGAAACUAGUGAAAUCGUUUUCUAAAAGUAAUAAGGUUAGUUUAAGCUAAAGAGAAAAAUAUCGGGUCGGCAAAGUUUAGAAAAUUUCUACACAGGACUUUCUAACGUUAACGUACAAUACCAAGUUUUAUCGUUCGAUACUAGACGAAGAUAUAUUUAAAUAGCUUGCUUAAAACUUUCUCAAGUUCACAGGACCAAAAUGGAUUUCUUACGAUUCCGAUUCACAAGCACGUAAUAUUUCAGAUUUGUCAAUAUAGCAAACUCACAUUUCAAAUAGAAAUCUCACUAGGGCUUCGUCAAUCAUUAGCCCUAGGUUUCAACAGAUUCAUUUCUGAUCAAAAAUUAAACAAAAGACCAAGGCUUCGUCAAUCAUUAGCUCUUGGUAUCCAACAUUCAUUUCUUACAGCAAUAUAGCCAAUAAUUCAACUGUUUAGAAUCACUAACAGGUACAUGAACACAGGGACAAAAUUUGCAACGCUAUCUUAUCCAAGAUUUCAACCAAAAUCUCAUUGUUUGUAACCAAAUGCAGAUUAAACAUUUUCCAGCAAUUUUUAUUCCAAAAUAUCCAUUCCAAUGCCAAGAAAUUCCAUCGACUAAACCGUUAGUGGUUUAUCCACCAAGUAACUUCCAUGUCAACAUUUCAGCCAUAAAAUCAAAUGGUCACCCCAAAAUUUCACAUGCAUGACCAUCUUAAUACAUUCUAAAGUGAAAUCAACCAACUAGAACUAAUAACAUGUAAUUCCAGCAAUUAAUUCCAUUAAAAAUUUAACGCUUGUGCAAAUCACUUAAAUAGCCAAGAACUCAACCCAAAAACAUGAAGAAUGUCAUGGCGGCUUAACUCUCAAGCAAUUCUAAAAAUUCAGAUUUCUUUCUUCUUUUCUUUUUUUUUUUCCACGGCUCAACAGCCACAUGCAUGGCUAUCUUACGAUAUUAUAAAGUGCAAUCAACAAGUAUAGGAUAUUUUACAGCGAAUCAAACUUUAAUGUAACAAUCUGGAACCCAAAAUUUGCAAAAGAAAUCUGGAAAAAUUCUUUCUUCUUCCCUCGGCUAAGCUGAGAAAUUCCAGCACUUUGCUUCAACAUUUUUGGUCUUAAAUCCGAAUUUACCUCGGUUGAAUCAUUGUGUUAAGUACCCAAAACUAACAUGCAAGGCUACUUAAUGAAAUUACUAUCAUUUCUAGUUCAGAUCAGGUUCGGACAGCAACUAUAAACAUCCACAAAUCCAGAAAUUCAUUCGGCUAUUCUCGGAUGAUCUUGCAUGCAGCAGAUUUUCUUGUUCAUUUUUAUUUCUUGCUUAACCGAGCUAAUGAGCUGCAUGCAAAGCUUAAUCAUCUUGUCUUAAGUUAGUUAAUCACAUUUAUAAGCUCAGAUUGCCUCAGGGAAACAAAAUUAAAGCUGCAUUUCCAUUUCAGCUUCUCGGCAAACCCAUUCCUUCCAAAUCAGAUUUUUCUAAUGCUUUGUUUUCAUCAUCUGGAAGCAUAAACUUCACAUGCAAGCUCUUAAACAGCUUCAUCUACCCAUAAUUAGCUAGCCUAAGUCUAGAAUUUACCUCAGCUGGAAGCUCAGCUCACGCAGCAAGAAGCUACAAUGUUUCUUUCUCGGCUAGCUCUCGGACAACACAGGAAUGCAGCCCGCCAACUCCCUCUCUUGCUCAAGCUUGUACGCGGAAUGGAAUGGAGGAUGAUCGUAGCUGGUUGAGGUUGAAGAAAGGAAUGGAAGCUCUAGGCAGUGAGGAAGAGGAUGAUAAAACUCACGCAGUUAUCUCUCACACUCACUCGCGAACAAUUUAAGAAAGCAACUUGCGCAACUUCCUCCCUUGCUCAAGCUUCUGAUCAGGUAGGAAAAUGGGAAGCUCGGCUCUUCACUCUCGGUCGAUAAUAACAAGGCAAAGAGAGAAUGUUGUUGUGGUUUGAGGUGUGAUGGUGGAGUGGAGAUGGGGUGCUGAAAUGAAGAUGAAUCGCGGAUGGAGAAGGUUGAGUGUUUGAGAGGAGAAAGGAAAUGUGAUCCGGCAGAAAUGGAAUCGUGAUUUUAAAAGGUUGGCCAAUGGAUCCUUGGUGGUUGCAUGGUAACUUCCGAGGUGGUGGAGGCUAUUUUACUCUUUUCACGUUUCCUCCGAAUUUUCACUUACGUCCUUAUUCUUAAUCUAAUUCCAAAAUUUACCCCAAUUAUAAUUUGAAUGCCUAAUAAUAUACUAUUCUCGCAAAGAUUCGAUUAUCGAGAUUUUAACGUCCUAAGUAUACUAAGUGCACUUGUAACGGUUUUGUCUAAAAUUUACCGACUUCAUCUUAUUGCUAAGGUUCCUAUUAACACUUAACAUUAUUAACGAUUAAAACUAGCUAUCGGAAUUCAAGGAAUUAAUAUUAAGGCGAUAAAAUAAUUUACAUCAAGAAAUAUCAAUUUAUCUUGGCAAGAAUCAAGUAAUUUCAAUAUUUUACACAAUUGAAUUGUUUGUAGCAUAAAAACUAUUUUUACGUGCUUAUUUAAGAACAAGUAAAGAUAGAAGUGGGAUUUAUUAAAAAAAAUCUAACAUGCAAAAGUAAUAUGUAACUGUAUAUUUAUUAUUAUUAUUAUUAUUUUAUAUAUAUAUUUUUUCGAGGUUCUCACAGUGACUGUUGUUGAUCGAACACAUGAUUGUGCAAUUCUUGUUUGCCAUCAUUCUUUUUACUACCACUUCGAAGUAACAUUUGCCUAAUAUCUUGUUUAGGCCUUUUAGCACACCUGUUGUAAUGAUCAUGCAAGGUACUCGUCCCAUGAGUGGUGCCUAUCUUGUAUUUUUUUUAACAAUACUUGCACACACCAUAAAAAAUGCCAUUUUCACCUUUCUCUCUAUCAAAAUGUGCCCAAACUUUUGAUUUUAAUUUUCUUUUUCCUCCUUCAAUUUCAUAUUCAUCUUCUUCUACUGUAUCUGUCAAGUCAAUUGAUUCAACAUUCCUUGAUUGUGGAGUUGAUGAAUUAUCCCUUUGUUCAGAUGCAAUUAGAUUUUCAGACUGAUUCAUCGUAAAAAGAAUUCUACAAAGACAAGAAAGCAAAUAGCAUAAUAAGUGGACUGCUCACAAACAUGAAAUAUAAAUAUAAUUUUUCACUUACAUUAAAAUUACAGGUCCUCUGUUUAGAAUCUAAAGGAGCACAAAUGGAUCAUUACUGAUCCGAAAUAUAUCAUUUGGAGUUAUUUCAGCAUUAUACAUAUAUCCAUGGCUAUCUUUUUUUUUAAUAAUACUAAAAUCUUAAACCAUUUAAUUGCCGUAAAUCAUUAGGCUUUCGUAUUUACAUUUUCAUUAAGGCUUUUCACAAACAUCUUAUAUGCACGCAAACAACUAUCCUUUGUUUGAUUAAUUUCGAAUUAAAGCAAACCAAAAAUUGUAACACAGUGCAUUUACAAUACUAAUACAAACUAACAAGAUAAAAGGGGGAAAAAUUAGCAGUGAAAUUUAAAUAUACAGAAGGUUAAAAAAGUGAAAGCAAAAGGACCUUCACUCUGCGCCUGUUUUCAAAUUUAGUACCCAAAGAAAUUACCUAAAGUCUCUCUGAGAUCUGGUCCUUAAUGAAAGUCCGUUUCUCUUCGAUUUGUUAAUUGACAAUCCGAGAAGACGACAAAUGCUCAGAGUGUUUCUGGAAGCAACGGAAGAUUGAUCCGAAAAGCAUGAAUAACACAAGCAAUGAUGAGCAGAUUCGUGUAUGCAUCAACCAUUUGAAAUUUAUAUUCAACUAUAGACAACAGCAUCAUGACACAUGAGGACAAAUCCUAUAGUUCUAUGGCAGCUUAAUUGGACUGGACGAUUAUUACCCAACCCAAAAAAAAAACAAAAAAGAAAGAAGAAGACUGGACGACCAGUUAUCAUCCCCUGUCGUAAUUUGUAAUUGCAAGCUUUGGUGCACUAAUUUAAGGGCAAAUAUAUCCACAAUUUUCUGGAUCUUCAACCUGGAAUUUCCUACUCCAUACUUUAUUUAUUUAUUUUUUUUGGUUUGGGGAGGUAAGAAGGUUUCCUUCUACACGCUUGAUACGACGACCGUAUUUGACACAAUUUGAAAAGUCAUGCAAGAAAAUAUUUGGCCCAAUAGUGGAGAUUUGGUCGAAGCAAAGAAACAAAUCAACAGAAAAUUACGUAGAACCUGGAAUUGGAAACUUCCAACUUGUCAAUCAGUUUCUUCUCACUUGCUGACGAAGAUAUGAGCUCGAUCUGGGAUUCUGGGUUGGGUAAAAUUUUAGAAGGAUUUAGACAGAGAAUGGGUUUAGUUGAGUAGUGAGUAGUGACUGAUUACUGAUUAGAAUUGAGGGAAAUAGGAGGUGACGGCGGUGGCUGCCCUUCUGCGAAGGAGGGAAAAAUGGGAACGGCCGAAUGGGGGAUAGAUAAUUAGGGCUUUUGUUACUUGACUUACACUUACUUCUGUGUAUUAAUUAUAUAUAUAUAUAUAUAUAUAUAUAUUUUGCGGGGGACGGGGCGGGUGUAUGUUGCCCCAUCCCCCGCCCCGUUUUAAGGCGGGGGUAAAAUAUUUACCCCCGCCCCGCCCCAUUUGUACCCCUGCGGGAACCCGCCCCCAUUGCCAUCCCUAGGCAUGCAUGGGGACAAGUGUCCCUUUGGUUUUUUAACAACACAUCACCUAGGUGGCAAGGUGUUUAGACACUUGUAGGAUAGGGAUUUUGAAAAGAAAAAACAGAAAAGAAAAAGGAUGAGAUGGCGGACUAAAAAAAGAGAGAGAGAAAAAAAGCUGACGGGGGAAAAAGGGAGGAGGUUUCUGGUCUGAGAGCUGGGUGGAGAGUAAAAGAAACAGAGGGAGAAAAAUAGAGAGGGGCGGCUAGGUUUUGGGCAUGAAAGCUUCGGCGAACCGAGGAAAAAAUCAGAAAAAGGAAGAAGGAAGAAAGCUGGGGAAGACAGAGGGCUUUCAGCUGAAAAGGGAAAGAAAAACUAAGGAAAAAAAACAGAAAGAACGGAGGGCGGCUAAGGGUGAUGAUCUGGGCAACGAAGGAGCUGGAAAAAGCUAAGAAGAAAACCGAGAGAGCUCUCGGACGGAGGACUAAGUAGGAAAUGGCAGCAGCAGCGCCGCCACCGCCUUCAUCCCCUGCUGCCAUUCCUGAGACCAGCAUUCCAGAAACCGCCGUCGCUCACCGAGCCAUCACCACCUCGUCGGACAUCCAUCACCAUCGUCUGCAAAUCUUCAACCGAACAGAUGCGGUAAGUCAUCUUCCUCCCUUUAAAAAUUCUGUCUUCUCUUCCAGCUUAGACCCAUAAGAAUCUCAAAACAGAGAUUAGCUUAUUGUGAUUUUUAUGUUGAUUGUGCGCAAUUUUGAGCAUACUUGCUUUCUGUAUUGAUUGGGAUUGAAUGUCUUUAUGUUUUCUUACCAAUUCUUGGGCUGAUUAACUUCAAAUUGAACAAAGAAUCGGUGAAAUUUCUUAUACUCAUUUGGUGUUCGACGAAAUGCCCAGCUAAAAAUUCUUAUUGAAAGAUUCUUUGUUUGCAUUUUUUUUUUCGUGUGAAGAAAUCGGUUAAGUUGGUCAAUUCGUUUCCUCCCGUUUGAGAAAAUUUUGAUGCAUUGCUGUCUUCCAUUUUUCCGUCUCUCAUGAUUCCGGUCGAAUGAACUCAAACUGAAAUGGUAUGAGAAGAAAUUUGUGUGAUUUUCAUGUUGAUUGAAAAAGGCUAGAAUAAAAACUGAUUUCUCGAAUUGGCUCUGUUGUAAGAAAGAUAGAAGUGUCGGAUUGAUGUCUGAUCCGUGGGGAAGAAGACCGAUUGUCCAAAAUUGCAAUUUCAGUCCCUCCAUUUUCUUUUUGUUUUGUGAUUUGGUCCUGGAUUUUCUGAGCUUCAUAAUUUGCCUCCAACACCUUCAUAAGUUCUUCAAUUAGGUCCCUGCUUUUGUUGCAUUUGAACCCCUCAAGCUUCCCCUUAUUCUGCUAUGGCCCAAAGCUUGGAAUAAUCUAACCUAUUUCGCCCUUUUUAAGUUUAACCCACUUUUUACAUGUUUUAUGUGAUUUUUGGAUAGAUUAAUGCUGGGAUUUGAUGCAUAAUUAGAGGUUAGCAAACUUUAGUUGGGUUUUUAUCUUGUUGGGUUUCAUAAAAUAAAAUUAGGUUUGGUUUGGACUUGUUGUUUGGGUUUGACAAAUGGAUUAAUGACUUGUUUUUUCUGGGUUGUUGACAUGGGUUGGAGAGAUAAAGCCCAUAUGUUUUUAGUUGAAUUUUGUUUUGACUCAAAAUAGGCUGGCCUGCUUGCUCUCUCAGGGCUUCCGAUUGGGCCAAGUGAGUUUUGGCCCAAACAAAUAAAUAAAAUAGCCCAGUGGCCUGAUCCAUUAAGAAAUUAGAGAACGAAUUUGCAGAAUGGUCCUCGGACUUUUCCUUAAUUAUGCUAUGGCCCUAAAACUUUAGGCAUUUUCCAAUUGGGUCCCUAAAUUAAUUGCAAAUAGGUCCCUGAACUUUAUUUUUUUAAUAUUUGACCUCAAAACUUUGUUAAUUUUUGCAAUCAAGUCCUUUCUUCUUUUGACUUCUUAAAUGUGGGUUGUUUAUAUGAUUUAAUUGAUUCAAUUUCACAAUUCAUUUUUAUCUUUUAUGAUUAUUUGUUAAUUAAAGUGAUGCCUUGACCUUUUCUUUGUAUUUUGGAGGGUAAAUAAGUUACUUCACUUCAUUAGAGCCCAACUCAAGAGAGGUACACCCUAUCCCUUAUUUUGACUUAUUUGAUCCUAUGUGCACUUAUGUGAAAUUAUGUGUGAAAUUGCAUGUUUCUUUUUGAAUAUUCUCAUUAAAUUUGUUCAUUUAGUUACUUUAUUUGUUUUAAUUUUGUAUAUUUAUUUUAAUUUAAUUUGUAAUUAUUUGAAAGGGCAAUUAAAUGCCACAAUUGUAAUAGUUAGGUUAUUAUAUCAUUUUAUUCCUUCCCCCCCUUUAGAUUGUAGUAGGGUUCCCCGAAUGUAAUAGUUAAGGCUUUAUUUGCUUUAUUUGCCUUGUGUGUUUUUGCAUGCCUAUGUGUUAUGUUACUCGCUUUCUUAGGAUCUUGCAUUUAGACAUCAUGCUUAUGUGUUAUGUGCUAUAUGUGAUUUAUGUGUUUAUUUGCUUUAUUAUGCUUUAUCUGAUUUCUUAGACUGUAAUAAAUGCAUGUUAUCACACUAGUCCAAUGCUAGCUGUGAUUUCUUUCCCGUCACCACACUAGUCCAACGCUAGUUGUGGCUCUUUGUUCCGAUUUCCCACUAGUCCAAUGCUAGUGAGGAUCCAUAGACAUGGGCUAGUCCAAUGCUAGACCCUUAGGGACCUCUCUCGCUAGAUCAUGUUUGUAUGAUUACAUUACACUUCAUGCAUAUCUUUCCGUUUUUUUAGGAUCUUUAUCAUUUUCACAUAAUAUUUCCCCUAAUAAAAUAUCCCUUAUCCCUAUGUAUAUAUAACAUUUAGAUUUGCAUCUCAUUUAGGAAAUUAGGGGGUAGAUUAGUGCAUUUUGCCUGAUUAGACUAGAGAUAACCCCUUAAAUAUGGGAUAUGGACGAGUUUGGCUUUCUAAGUCUUAGCACGCUCGUAUUCCCUCUAUUAAAGGGAACAUUGAAAGUCACGAGCAUAAGUCCCCGCACCCAUCAUGAUGCAUUCCUUUAGGUCAUACACAUUUGUAUAUUAUUAUUUUCUCUACUUUUCCUUUCUUUCGAGUCUCAUGACUUGCAUUAUUCGUGACUUCUUCGAAGAGUUUUUAUUGGGCGUCACAAUUAAUGUGAUUGGUACCAAGUAAGUUUUGAAGAUACAUUUCGACCCCCCGACACCCUCCUAGGUCUAGGGUAUGCAUUCAUAUAGUACAUCCAAAUGUGAUAAAUCUUAAGGGUAAAAUAAGAAAAUCUUUGACUAAAUUGCGCAACUAGCCUUGGCUAGGUUGAAAGGAUACCUUGGAUUCUUAUCCUUGCCUUCCCUUUCUUCAAAUGUGACUCCCGAAUCUUUUUCUCUGAUUUUUGUAGACUUGGAGUCGUUUAAAAAGGAUUUUUCUAAUUUUUCUUUAAAAAUUCAUUUUUUGGUGACUUGAUACACCUUAAUUCUAUACCAAGUGGCGACUCCAAUUUUCAUUCAAAAAAACCCUUUUUAAAACUAUAUUUUGGGUCAAAUCGUCGCAUUUUCAAGUCCCAUUUAGACCCAUGUUUUUCAUUCUCUUCUUAAAUAAAAAAUUCAUUUUCCAAUCAAAAAUUGAACCAAAAGCAAUUUUUCUAAACUCGUCUUUUAUUUUUCUUUAUAAAAAAUGGGGCGCAACAUCACUAAUAGCAGCAAGAGUUAAAUCUACCUUGUAUAUAAGAAAAGAGCCAGGUUUAGUGUUUUCCUUUCCACUUGCCACAUGGCUUCUUAAUUAUCUGACAAGUGGCAAGGUAAAAUGUUUCUUGCAAAUUGUCUCAAUCUAUAAAGCUUCUCUUGUCCGAAACCUUCUAUUUCUUUUCCUUCUUUUGCCAUUGCACUGCUACUGUAGCAUGCUGUCUCAUUGACACAUGGCACUCUUGGUGAGUUUUUUUCAUUCUUUCCUUUUCUUUUUAUAGGCAACGGUAGAUAGAUAGAUUGGACUGCAUUGCACAAUGACCAAAUUUGGUCUGGCCUUGGCAUUCAAGUAUGAGGUCCAAUUAUUUUUAUUGGAUUUUUCAAUUUGUAAGCUUUUGAUAGAUGUAAUUCAAUUACUGUUGACCUUGGUUGAUCAGUCCUUAGUUUUGAUGAUUAACAAACCAAAAUGUAGAUUUGGGCUAAUGUUUUUAUGUGAGCAAUUUGUUAGAACAGAUUCUUGUGGCACAAAAGAAGAAGCAAAAACAGGGCACUCAUGUGGGACGUCCGAAAGGAAGCUAUCGGACGUCCGAAAGGAUGAAGAACUCGUGAGGAAGCAUCGGACGUCCGGAUGGAUCGGACGCAUGCUUCGGACGCACAUCAAUAUCAUCGGACGUCCUAAAAUUUCCACGAAGAUUUGAUAACUCUCUGGACGACGUUCGGACACUGAAGCUCGGACGAUAAAAUCCCAUCGGACGUCCGAACAACAACUUGACUGAUUUUCGGACGAUGGGAUCAGACGAUGACUAAGCUGUCGGACGUCCGACAGGCCAACGGCUAGUUUUGACAGCAUUUAAUAUUUGACCGUUGGAGAGCCUUUUGGAGCCAUUUCUCACCUUCUAUAAACACCCCAAAGCACAAGAAGACAGUAGACUUUUGCCAACACAAAAUACAAGCUUACAAGUGAGAUUUUUGAGUAGAAAGAUUCUUUGUUGGUUGUAUAAGGGGUUGGGAAAGUUGGGUUGUGAGGUUGCUCAAGUGAAGGUUACUCUCUAGGUGGAGUAAAACCUUGGUGAAGGUGAACCUAUCACUUGAAGUGGUAAAACCUUGGUGAAGGUUGCCUCAUUUGUAUAAAAUAGUUCUAAAUUGGGUGUGUGAUCUUUCAAGUGUAGGUUGUUGAGGGUUAACUAGAAUAGUUGUAAAACUCCUUGGCUCAACCAAAGUGUGUUUGGGGUGAGGAAGGAGUGAGCCUUCACUUGUACAUCUUGGUUAGCAUCGCCAUCAAUUGAAGAGGCUAUUGGUUUGAUAUUUGGUUUGCAUUUCUUAUAUUUUCUCUUUAAUUAAGUUUUCUUUAUUGUGCUUAAAUUUGAUAUAUCUUUGUGCAUCAUUGUGAAUUUGUUUGUACUCAUUGGGUUGCACCGGGCACUUACAAUUGGUAUCAGAGCUUGGUCUCCUUGAGACUAAGCUCAAUCGGCUUGGAGUAAAGAUCAUGGCAACCAUAAAAGUUUCCUUUUUAGAAGGGCAAUCUAUUGAUAGACCACCUAUGUUUAAUGGUUCUCAUUUUAGCAUGUGGAAACAAAGAAUGAUGAUUUUCUUACAAUCCGUUUAUAUUGAAUUAUGGUAUGUGGUAGAAGAUGGUCCUUAUGAAGCUAGAAUAGUUGACUCUACCACCAAUUUGAGUAGAUUAAAGACUAGACAAGAAUUGAAUGAAAAAGACAAGAGAUACCUUUCUUUGAAUGCCAAGGCCAUGUGUAUAUUGUACAAUGCAUUAGAUGUAAAUGAAUCUAGUAGGAUUAAAGGUUGUAAAUCAGCUAAAGAUAUUUGGGAUAAAUUGUGUGUAUUUCAUGAAGGUAACCAAGAUAUUAAAGAACAAAAGAAAUCUUUGCUUGUUUCUCAAUAUGAAUUUUUCAAAAUGCAUCCUCUUGAAAAUGUUGAUGAGAUGUGUAGUAGAUUUUGUGACAUUAUUGAAGAUCUUAAAUUGCUUGGAAAAGAAUAUUCUUUGGGUGAGAAAAAUAGAAAGAUUUUGAAUGCCUUGCCAAAAGAAUGGGAAAACAAAAUAAAUGCUAUAGAAGAGGCAAAGGAUUUAAAUUCUAUGUCCAUUGAAUCUCUUGUGGAUACCCUAACCUCUUAUGAAUUAAAGCUGAAAUUCAAAGUGCAAGAGGAAGAAAAUGCAAGAAUGUAUAAGAGAGGCAUAGCUUUUAAAGUAUCUCAAGUGGGGGAUAACCCAUCCUUCAUGGGUAAUGAAAUCAUGGAAGUGGACAAUGAUAUAACUCCUCACAUCAAAAGUUUCAAGAAGAUCUUCAACAAGAGAUGUUCAAGAGGAGAUUGCAAAAUUACAUGGGAUGAAUGCAAUUCAAAAAGAGAAAAAGAAGAGUUGGCCCAAAUGGCACUAAUGGCCGUUGGAGAAGAUGAGGUAAGUUCUUAUCACUCUUCUUGUGAUGAAGAUAAUGAAGACGAUGAUGUGAAAAUUCUUAUGAUUAAAAUGCAUAAAAGUUUGAGAAAAUCUUAUGCUAAAAAUAAAGAUUUGAAAACAAAAAUAAAUGAUUUGUUGGAAGAAAACUCCAAACUUUUUCAAGAAAACAAAUGUUUGAGAAUGGAAAAUGAUGAUUUAAAAAAUCAAAAAAGUGUUUUUGAUUGCAAAAAUAAUUUGAAAAGGAAGUUGGAAGAGAAAACAAAGUUUUAUGAAAAAAUGUUGGAGGAACAAAAUGUGUUAAAGAAAAGAAUUAAUGACUUGAACGAGUUUCUCCAAAAUGAAAAACAAAAGUUUUCUCAAACAAAAGAAAGCAAAUCUUUUCAAGGCACAAAUAAGUUUGCUAUGAUAAGAAGUAAGAAAAUUAGUUGCAUUAAAUCCACUUAUGUGCAAAAUACUUCUAUCAUGUGUCACUUUUGUUGUCAAUUUGGACAUAUGCAAAAUGAUUGCUAUGUAAAGAAAAAUAUGAGAAAAUGUAUGAAAUCCAUGUGGAUUGCUAGAUCAUGUUGUACUAACUCCCAAGAACCCUAUAAAAAAUUACAAUUGGUAUCAUGAAAGUUUUGUCAUUCUAUAUGGUCUUGAUUUGAAAAAUAAAGGGGGAGUUUGCUUUUUGAUUGAUGUCAAAAGGGGGAGUAGGAUUUAUUGAAAUUUCUUUGUAUGUUGGCAUUUUCUAAGAACUUAUUUGAUCAAAGAAAUCUUCAUUUUGUUUGUCAUCAUCAAAAAGGGGGAGAUUGUUGACCUUGGUCGAUCAAUCCUUGGUUUUGAUGAUUAACAAACCAAAAUGUAGAUUUGGGCUAAUGUUUUUAUGUGAGCAAUUUGUUAGAACAGAUUCUUGUGGCACAAAAAAAGAAGAAAAAACAGGGCACUCAUGUGGGACGUCCGAAAGGAAGCUAUCGGACGUCCGAAAGGAUGAAGAACAUCAGGAAGGAUAUUCUGUCGGACGCUCGUGAGGAAGCAUCGGACGUCCGGAUGGAUCGGACACACUCUUCGGACGCACAUCGAUCGUGUCGGACGUCCUAAAAAUUCCACGAAGAUUUGAUAACUCUCUGGACGACGUUCGGACGCAGGGUUCGGACGUCCGACAGGUGGUUUGGACGCAGGGUUCGGACGUCCGACAGGUGGUUCGAACGUCCGACAGACCAACGGCUAGUUUUGACAGCAUUUAAUAUUUGACCGUUGGAGAGCCUUUUGGAGCCAUUUCUCACCUUCUAUAAACACCCCAAAGCACAAGAAGACACGGGACCUUUUGCCAACACUAUAUACAAGCUUACAAGUGAGAUCUUUGAGUAGAAAUAUUCUUUGUUGGUUGUAUAAGGGGUUGGGAAAGUUGGGUUGUGAGGUUGCUCAAGUGAAGGUUACUCUCUAGGAGAAGUAAAACCUUAGUGAAGGUGAACCUAUCACUUGAAGUGGUAAAACCUUGGUGAAGGUUGCCUCAUUUGUAUAAAAUAGUUCUUAAUUGGGUGAGUGAUCUUUCAAGUGUAGGUUGUUGAGGGUUAACUAGAAUUGUUGUAAAACUCCUUGGCUCAACCAAAGUGUGUUUGGGGUGAGGAAGGAGUGAGCCUUCACUUGUACAUCUUGGUUAGCAUCGCCAUCAAUUGAAGAGGCUAUUGGUUUGAUAUUUGGUUUGCAUUUCUUAUCCUUUCUCUUUAAUUAAGUUUUCUUUAUUGUGCUUAAAUUUGAUAUAUCUUUGUGCAUCAUUGUGAAUUUGUUUGUACUCAUUGGGUUGCACCGGACACUUACAAUUACAAAUUAUUAUUAUUAUUAUCAUUAUUUCAAUUUAUAUUUAUUAUGAUGUCAAUUUGAGAGAGUAUUUUUCCGAUCAUCGUAUUUUCAAAAACAAAAAGAAAUAUUUAAAAUUGAUUUCAAGCUCUAGGUCUUGGACAGAUGUAAUCCAAUUAUAAUAUUAUUAUCAUUAUCAUUAUUUGAAUUUAUAUUUAUUACGAUUUGAAAUAUCAUUUAAACUUAUAUUUCACAGAUUAACUUGACUUUAUUAAAAAUCAUAGAAUUCUAUUCGUCUUUUUGAAAGUUUAUAUUUUUUUUUAUUUUUUUGCUACGUUGUUUAUAUAACUUUUGCUAUUUUAGAAGCCGUCAAAAAAUGAUAGAAAAAUUGUCACAUUUUCAAAAAUUAAAAGAAAUAUCCAAAUUUGAUAGCAAGAAUUUUAUUAUUUUAAUCUACAUGCUAAAAAAAUAUUUAAACUUUCUUAAUCAAACCUUGGCUAUUUUUGAACUCGGAGGAAAAUAAAAAGAUAUCUUCAAAGUGGGAAAAUGAUAAAAAGAAAAAGAAAAGAAAUUGGUUCCAAUUUGUUAUAAAUGCAAAAAUGAAAUAGCCAACUAAUAGAAUAUACACUUUCGAAUCAAUUUUAUUUUAAUUUAUUGAUAUGUGAACAUUUGUCUUUUAUUUUGACAAAAAAAAUUUUUGUUGAACAAAUGAAUGCAAUAAUUUCUGAAUGACAAAAAAAUAUGCAUUUGUUUUUUUAAGGAAUGGUAGGGUAAAAUGUUUCUUGCAAAUUGUCUGAAUCUAAAGCUUCUCUUGUCCGAAGCCUUCUAUUUCUCUUCCUUCUUUUGCCAUUGCACUGUUUUUUUCUCAAAUUGCCGUUGAAUCACUUCGUAGCAGCAGAAAAAAGGAAGAAUUCACUGGUAAAUUCAAACCAAGUACAAUCCCUAAAAGAAGCUGAUUCUUGGGGCAAGUGUAAUCACGUGCAUGUGGAGGGUUUUUGUGGUUCUAACCGAAAGAAAGUACAAUGCUUUGUUCAGAAAAUUGGUAGAACAGUAGCAUCUUUUGUAGGUUCAUAUUCGGCUAUCUGAGUGGAAGAAACGGAGAAGAGGAGAUUUUGCUACCAAACCCAGUAGAUCAACACCCCUCUUCAAGCCUUCUAUUUCUUUUUCUUCUUUUGCCAUUGCACUGUUUCUUUCCCAAAUUGCCGUUUAACCCUUUUCCUCCUUUCUCUCUACCACACGGCUCUUCUGAGCACAAAUUCAGCGCAUUUAUCCUCAGCAAGUCCAAUUCCAGCCGUCUAUGCUACCAAACCCAGCAAGUCAACAACCCUCUUCAAACAUGUAAAAAGUUUGGAUAUGACAACAGAUUAUAGGGGCCUAGGCUGUGCUUAGCACAGCCAAUAACCUCCUAGUUAUAUAAGAAGAAAGUGGAGUUACUAUAUCAAUGCCAAUGAUUGCCAAGUGGAUCUCUCUCACUUUGACACGUGGUUCAUUCAUUUUCUUUUCUUCAUUUUGCUUUGUUUUUUCUUUUGCUCACUUUAUUUCCUUUCUCUUUUUUGGCUAAAGAUAAUUAAACAAAUCCUCAUAUACAUUGCAGGUUUCUUAUUUAGUUUCCACUUUGUACUCUUUUUUUUUCCCUAUCAUCCUAAUCAUUUAUUCUAUUUUUUCUCUAUUGGAUUAGUUGAUGCAUUACCUUUCAUUUUUGUCCAUAAUUAACUAAAUGAAUGGUUUCAUUAUCAGAGAUCAAGAAUGGGUUUGAUAUUUCCUUUCUUCCAUAGUCCAAUAAUUACGAUUCAUGAUCUUCUACUUUUACUGUCUCUCUUUGGUAUGUACUAUUUGAUAUUUUUUUUGUCAUCUUUUGCGUCUUGAUCAGAAACCUUUGCUUAUUGCUUUUCUCGCCUCUUCCUUCUUCAUCUGACUUUCUUUUCUGCCCAAAAGAGGUAUGUGAUCUGUGAAUAUUUUUUCCCCAAAUCUAAAGAAACAUUUUUUUUUCAGUUUUUUAUAUUUUAUUUAUUCUGAAACUACUUUUUGAUCUUUUUAUUUUUGGAAAAUAAUUCCCUAAGGCUGAUAACAAAACGGGUGGUGAUUACAUGAAGAAUUUUUAGGCUAGCAAUGAAAGAAUUGUAGCUACUUUUCCCCGAUAAAAUAAAUAACACCAUUAUGCAGAUUCAUUCUAAUUUUAAUUUUUUAUAAGAAGAAAGUGGAGUUGCUAUAGCAAUGCCAAUGAUUGCUAAGUGGAUCCCUCUCAUUUUGACACGUGGUUCAUUCCUUUUCUUUUCUUCAUUUUGCUUUGUUUUUUCUUUCGCUCACUUUAUUUCCUUUCUCCUUUUUGGCUAAAAAUAAUUAAACAAAUCCUCAAAUACACUGUAGGUUUCUUAUUUAGUUUCCACUUUGUACUCCUUUUUUCCCCCUAUCAUCCUAAUCAUUUAUUCUAUUUUUUCUCUAUUGGAUUAGUUGAUGCAUUACCUUUCAUUUUUGUCCAUAAUUAACUAAAUGAAUGGUUUCAUUAUUGGAGAUCAAUAAUGGGUUUGAUAUUUCCUUUCUUCCAUAGUCCAAUAAUUAUGAUUCAUGAUCUUCUACUUUUACUGUCUCUCUUUGGUAUGUACUAUUUGAUAUUUUUUUUGUCAUUUUUUGCAUCUUGAUCAGAAACCUUUGCUUAUUGCUUUUCUCGCCUCUUCCUUCUUCAUCUGACUUUCUUUUCCGCCCAAAAGAGGUAUGUGAUCUGUGAAUAUUUUCCCCAAAUCUAAAGAAACAUUUUUUUUUUCAGUUUUUUAUAUUUUAUUUAUUCUGAAACUACUUUUUGAUCAUUUUAUUUUUGGAAAAAAAUUCCCUAAGGCUGAUAACAAGACGGGUGAUGAUUACAUGAAGAAUUUUUAGAUUAACAAUGAAAGAAUUGUAGCUACUUUUCCCCCAUAAAAUAAAUAACACCAUUAUGCAGAUUCAUUCUAAUUUUAAUUUUUUAUUUAUUAAAAUUGUUAGUUGAUAAUAGGGUGAUAGUACUAGAGUAGAGGAGAAAAAAUCUAAAAAAUGAAAAUCCAAGGUAAACGAUGAUCAGGAAGAAAAUAAUGAUGCCUAUUAAAUUAAAAAUUAAUCAGAAUCUCUUAAUUUAUGGAUAGGUAAUUAUAUUUUAAUUUAUAUAAAGUUUAUUAAUGGUGAAAAAUGCUUAUAAACUGGAUAUGGUGGAUGACGUGUAAAAUAAUUGUUGGGGCUAGCAAUUUAGAAUGUGAAGAUAAUAUUUUGUAUCUCUUCAUUCAACAUUUUGAAUUACUAGCUUGUAUCCAUGAUAGGUAGUUUAUUUUCAUGGUUUUAAUUUUAGCAAAUGAUAGCUUGAAAAUAAAAGAAAUGUAAAAUUAGAUUUCAGAAUCUUUUACUUAAACAGGUUCUAUAUGACUUUGUACUCUUAUCCUUUUUUAUUGCCCAUAAUGAUAGAUAAUAUAAUUAGAGUUUGAGAUGAUUGCUAGGCAUGGAACUGGACAUAUCAUUACUAUUUGGCUAAAAGAGUUAAUAAUAUUUUGUCAAUUUGACUAGCUAAAACGAUUGCAGUUGUCAAAGGAAUGCAUUUGGUGGUGGAAGUUAGCAUUGAGGCUUUUAGCUUAGAGCGUCACUCGACAAAAUUUUAUUAGAAAAUUCUGUUUUGAUUAAAAAGACAUAUUUGCAAUCAAAUAAAUUGUUGGAUUUGAAUUUGCAUAUGUAGAUUUAGAAACAUGGCAAUUCAUGUUUUUAUUUAAACUUGCUAUAUGUAUUCUAUAACUAUUUGGUUAGAUAAUGUUUUCAUCUAUUUGUAAUGCUAUUAAUCAUGAUUUAAAUGGAUGGAUUAACUCACUCUUUCUCUCAAAAAAGAAAGAAAAUAUGCAAGUUUGUAUGUUUUUUUAUUGAUGUUGAAGAUUGUGACAGGUUUUGGUGGCUUUCUAUAUUUUUUCUAAUUAUUAAAAUGUUAGAAACAUUAUGACUACUUUUUAUUUAAUUACAACUAAAACUAUACUGCUAUUAAACCGAUAAUGCACUCAUAAUGGAUUUGCUUUCUUUUCAUUUUUGGUAUCAUUACGUACACAUAAUAUUGGUUAAAAACUCUUUGUCCAAAUCACAAUAAAUUGGGGUUAACUUUAUAGAUGGAAUUUCUUUUCACAGCAAAUUUUAAUUAUUUUUAUACUUAAUUUUUUUCCUAUAUUUCUAUUCAUUAUGUACUAAAACAUUUGUUAUUAUGUAUUUAACUAAUGUUCUAGAGGGCACAACCGAGGUACCUCUAGUAAUUAAAAUAAAAGGAAAGCUAGCCUUUUUUAGAGUCAUGACAAAUGUCACUAUUCUAAAGUCGUAAGGACCUUCAUACGUACAGGUUCUAGCUAUCAUCCAUAACUCCAAAAUAAAAUUCAAAUGUAGCUUUUCCUCUUCAAUGUACACGUACAUAGAAUUUACCAGUCUAAUUGUUCAAUUGAUCUACUCUACCAUAAUUACUGAACUUAGAGAAUUCUUUAUAGAAGUAGAAGAAUAGCAGAAGAGAUAUAUAUUGUUGUCAAUCGUCUUCACAUAUGUCUACUAUUUAUAGUACUUAUUAGUCAUUGGUUUCAAAUUUGGUUUAUCCUAAAAUAUUUGUCAUGGUUUCAAUACAAAUAAUAAAGCCCAACUUUUCUACUAUAUCUUUGAUACAACUUCCAAGAAAAAGCAUUUAAAUUAUAUUUUCCUAAUAAAUCAUGUUACAGACUAUUUUUGUAAUUUAGUAGUUGUGCCUUUUUUAAAAUUUCAAGCUCAACUAACAAGAUGUUGAAUUUUAAUUGAGGGCACUAAUGGAAAGACUUACUUUAAUAGUUGAUGAGUUCUUAAACUAUGUACAAAGUUAAUCAUGAUAUAAAAAUAGGACGAAGGACGUAAUAAAAGCCACAGAAGUAGUAAUAGGUUCCUAAGAUUGAGAUAAUUAUCGAUAUCAUAACGGCUAGUUAAUGGCAAGUUUAGUUAGCUAUUUUAUUGUAGGAUUUAGUUUACUAACAAAAGUGAAGAGAAUUGACUAAGUAAAGAUACUUGACAAAGUAUUAUCGGAAGCUUUAAAGCUUUACUAACAAUUCCCCACAAGGUUUCAAAGUUUUAUAUUAUUAAUUAUUGGGUGACAUUAUACUCCGCAAUAGGUAUAGAAGUUGAUAGCUAUACUUAGUGUUGAUAGUUUUUAUUUGACCGAAACCAUAAUGGUUUAAACCUUGACUCAUGUCCCCUUGAUCAAAUGUUAACCACCACACACAUAAUAUUGAUUGGUCAUUAGUUCUAAUGUGGCUUAGCACUAUUACUAGCUAGGGCUGCAAACGAGUCGAGCUGAGUCGAGCUUUGAGCUAAUCGAGCCGAGUCUCGACUAAAUUUUACCAAGCUCGAGCUCGAGCUCGAACUCGACGAGCCGGCAAUUUUCAAGCUCGAACUCGAAAAAAAUAAAAAAUAAUUAUUUUAUUUAAAAAUAAAUAAAUAAUUUUCUUAAUAAAUAAUAAAAUAUUAAGGAUAUAUACGUAAUUUUACUAUAAAAAUAAAAAUAAAAAAAUAUAUAAUAUACAUAAUUUUAUUAUUAAAUAAAAAAAAAUAUAUAUAUAUAUAUAUACUCAAGCUCGCGAGAGCUUAAUAUUCUAAGCUCGAGUUCGAGCUCGAGCUCGACUCAAGCUCGAUUAAUAUCGAACUCGACUUAAUCGAGCUCGACUCGAGCAGCUCGCGAGCAGCUCGAUUCGUUUGCAGCCCUAUACUAGCCAUGGGAUCUUAUCUUGAUUCUCAAGAGAGUCUCUAGAGAUAGCCCAAAUGCAUAACACAAGUUCUCGUGGCAACUCUUAUAUACGGAAGUCCUCCAAGGGUAUGAAUGACGUAUGCCCUUGGAAAUAUUGUCUUGGUCUCAUUGAGGGUUAAAUCCUUCCCUUGCAUCACACUUAGUAGCACUAUCAUCAUAAAGAUAGGAUGCUCAACUAAAUUUUUAGUGCCACUAUAAUAUUGAGUUAUGCAUUAUGGGUUAUGAUGUCUAACAAUAUAUAUUAUAGUAUCCUAUAAAUCUUGUGACAUAUUAGGUAUUGCUUUUGAUGAUAGACCAUUUACUUUAAAUUGUAAUUCAUUUUGAAUUAUAAAACUGAGAGUUAUCAAAAUGUGCAGUUCUUCAAAAAGUUGGCCUAAUUUAUAACUUGAUUGAAUCUAUUUCUUUUUCUUUUUCUCAAUUAUGGUUGAACAUGCAUACAGUCAUUUAUUUAGAAGAUAAUAUUAUUUAGUUUUAUGAACCUAAAAGUCUAAUAUAUUAGCUGAUGCUUUGGUUUUAAGUUAAUCUAUAUAUCUUUAUAUAGAAUGGAUCACUCUUCUACUACAUUAAGAUGAUAAAGAUGAAUUCAUAAUAUUCGUCUCAUGUGUGCAAUAAUGAUAAGUGUCAUAUUUUACAUUAUUUCCAUAUAUAUUUGAAUACAUUUGUUAUGUAUUUAUAUGUGAAUGUUGUUCAAUUCGGGGUUUUACUUAGGUUUUCAUGUUUUAAACAUGGUUUGUUGUAAAAUUACAAAAUUAAUAGUUUUAGAUGGUAUUUUUUGUUUGUCUAGUUUGGAUUUGAAACAAGGGCUUAAAAAGUACUUAAACAUGUGUUAAAGGAUGCUCGUUAGAUGCCAAAAGGCAUUUUGGAAGUUUGGAGUAAGAAAGAAAUCAAAUUGAAACCAUGCCAAAGAAGUUAAGAAAGUUGUUUUCAAAUACAAUUUAGAUUCUAGUUUGAUAACUUGAGCUAAAGAGAUCAUAUUGAGUUGAAUUUUGAUACGUUUGAAAGUUAAGAUCAAGGAUACAAUUCUUUGCCACUCUAGUUUCCUAUCCAAAAGUCCAAAUUAUAGAUUUCCUAGUGUUGUAUUUUGGAAAUGAUUUCCUAGUGUUGUAUUUUGGAAACUUCUAAAAUUGCCUUCUGAAAAGUUAGUGGUAUUUUAGACAUUGCUUCAUACUUACAUGUCCAAAUGACUUGAUUCUUGAAUCAUAGAAAAGCUAAUUCAAUUAAAUACAAUUUUCCUGUUUCUCAUAAAAACUGAUUCUAUAUGCUUCAUAGAGAUUUUUCGUUUCAAGUCGGUUGCAAAAUAGUCAAAAUCCAUCAUGGUAGGGAUUCCUCUUUUGAAUCGAUUUCCAAUUCUUUUUUGUAUAAAAAGACAAUUUGUGGACAAAUUUAAGAAGCUGUUAGAUGUACUUUGGUAUCAUUAAUAAUGUAGAUCUUCAAUUAAACUUACUUUUCUUAGGUUAGAGUAGAAUUAGAGCACGCUUUUCUUUGUUUUCUGUAAUACAACUUUGGAAGAAAAUUGAAGGAAGAAGGAGCUCUUUGCCUGUCUUGGAAUAAAAGUUUCUUUUUUUCCUUUAUCUAUUCAAUGUUACUUAUUGUUUUUAUUAAGUUAACUUUUGUUAAGAGUAGUUAAUUACUUAUUUUGGGAUUGGAUGGAUUCAAUUACUCCUUAGUUCGUGAUCUUACUUAGUUAAUUGAUGAAUAUUGUACAUGCUAUUUUACACCUUUGUUUGUUUAUCUUUAAAAUUAAAAGGCUAUUAGUCGUGAAAACUUAAGCUGUUGAUUUUCUUAAAAAAAAAAAACUUAAGUUUUAGUUGGUAAAUGUAUAAACUUUAUUGUGUAACUCACAAACGUAGAGAAGCAUAUAAAGUGUUCUUGUACAACCUCAUGAUUUUAAUGACUUUUUAAUUUACUUUAUAUCUCAAACUUUGACUUGUUUUUGAGAUAAUUAAUGCAUUACAAAAGUAGAUAUUAAAAAUUAAGGAGAUUUAUCAUAGUUAUUGCACAAGAGUUAAUUUAUUGACUAAUAUUUUUGGUUAGGAUAAUUGAGGAAUUCUAAAAUCUAGGAAUCUUUUGUCUUUGAUUAUUUUAGUUUUAAUUGAAUUUUAUUUACUAUUUGAAGUUUUUGAGAUAAUUUCUAGUCUAAAUAAUAAAGAGUUUAGUAAAUGUUGGUAUUUGAUUAAUCUUUUCUAUGGAAUCGACACCUGAAUACUUGUCCUUUUUACAUACAAUUUGUGCACUUAUGAGCGAUAAGUACAGUUUAAUUUAACUUCAUCAAAUGGCUGUAGCAAUGAUUAUUUUCUUUACAAUGUGCCAUCAUAUUAGUAUGAUGAAUUUGAAUAACAAAAAGUGUCAAUCGAGAAGUAGUAAGGAAAAAGUUGUUGACAAGAUUUUUUAUUUGUUUAGACUAAUUAAAGUGAUAUUAGUUAUAAGAGUGAAUUUAAAAUGGAUAGGCGCACCUUUUGGCAUAUUAUACGAGAGAGUUAUAAAUGUUGUCGGGUAAAAAGAUAUUAAAAUAUGAGAUUGGUAACUUUCACGAUUUGAAAUUAUGCAGAAAUAGUAAGAGGGUUUGCUUGCAUGGCAGCCUUUGGGCUCCCGUUGUAGACACCAAAAUUUUAUUAAUUCAAUUUUAAACUUUAUUUAUUUAAUUAAUUCAAUUUUAGAUUUAUUUAUUUCAAAUUUUUAGCUUUAUUUAUUUAAUUAAUUUAUUUUUAGCUUUAUUUGUUUAUUUAAUUCAAUUUUAGUUUUAUUCUGUUAUUUUUAUUUUUAUUUUAUUAUUAUUACUAUUAUUAUUAUUUAUUCUUGUUUUCAUUAUUAUUAUUUUAAUUGAUUUAAGGUUGCAAAUAGUAAUUAGUGUUUAUUUUUAUUUUGGUACAUUAAGAUUCAUCAUUUUCUUUUCUUUUUAAAACAUUUUUUACACUAAAUUUCAGAAAAGAAAAUUCUUAAUAAAGAUCCAUUUUUAUCUUUUUCAAACUCAAGUUUUACUAAAUAAAAUGACAUUUUGUAAGGUAAUUAGAAAUUAGCAUUUAUUUAUAAAUUGGUUUUUGAAAAGAAAGAAAAAUACAAAACAAAAAUAAUAUAUAACACACAUGCAUGCAAUAGGGCCAAAUGGGGCACAUGCAAUAGGGAUAAGUAUCCCUUUAUUUCUUUGACAAUAUAACACCUAGAAGGCGAGGUGUUAGGACACAUGGAGGCCUAAGGAAAUUUGAGACAAAAAGAAAAAUAAGAAAAGGAGAAAAGGGGGCGGCGGUGAAAAGAAAAAUAGGAUUAGCCACUGAAAAAAAAGAGAAGAAAGGCGAGCUAAGGAAAACAGGGGAAGGCUUCGGCUAAAACAGAGAAAAAGGAGAGGAGGUCUUCGGCUGAACGGAAAAAGGGAGGAGGUUUUGGAGAAAGGAAAAAGAAAACAGAGCGAAAGAGAGAGAGAAAGCCAGAGAGUAGACGGAAGAAAAAUUGAAAAAAGAGGGGAGGAAAAAGGGAAGAGCUUCGACAAGAAAACAGAGCAAAGGAAAACCAAGAAUCGAAGGAAUCAGCAAGGAGUUGCUGUUGCCGCUGCUGCCACCAGAAUCCACCACCACCACCUGCAAAUCGUCACCGCAAAAGCUUGGUAAGGUUCCCUUUCUCCUUUCCUCUCUUUAAUUUUGCUAGCGGAUGGGUGAAAAUGAGAGGUAUUGACCUGAUUUUCUCUUCCUUUCUUCUUUUUAGUAAAACUUUUAUCCUUUUCUGACGUCUAUGUAUUCAUGUGGGGCUAUAAUUUCUGUUGUGUGAGAAAUUUGAUUGGGAUGCUGUAAAUUUUGGGGCUGAUUAACUUCAAAUUGAGCAAAGGAUUGGCGAAAUUCUUUAUACCCCUGACCUGUUCGAUGAAAUGCCCAGUUGAGAGUUCUACUUGAAGAUGAUUUUGCUUGCGUUUUGCGUGUGAGAAAAAGGAACAUUCGGCUAAUUCAGUGUUUGUCCGAACAUGAUAGCUAAUUUUUCAUGGUAGAAAACAGAGUCUUGGGAGGCUCUGACGUGCUGGUUUUUUGCACUUUUUCUGUUUUUAUGCUGCCCUAUGUUUGAGUCCGAAUUGAUGUGAUGAGAGGGGGGUGUUGUGAGUUUCAUUGUCGGUUGGGAAUGGUUAGAAUUGAAACCAGAUUUCUGGUAUUGCUCUGAUCGCAAGGAAAGCUGAAAUGCUCGUUGGAGAAGACAAUUACUUGUCUAAAAUUGCAUUUUCAGUCCCUCCAUUUUAUUUUUUUGUGAUUUAACCCCAAAUCUUUUAGAACUUCAUAAUUCGACCCCAAAACCUUCAUAAUUCAUUCAAUUAGGUCCCUAUUUUUGUUGCAUUUGAACCCCCCAAAUUUCGCCUUAUUCUGAUAUGACUCAAAAAAUUGGAAAAAGUUAAAGUUAUUUCGCCCUUUUAGACUUUAAUCAUCUUUUCAUUUUUAAGUAGUCUUUUGGGGUAGAUUAAUUCUUGGUUUUAGGUUAUAAUUGUGGCUUAAUAAUUUUAGUUGAUUUUUCCAUGUUGGGUUUUAUUGAAAUAGGUGAUUUGGGUUGAGAGGUUAUUUUGCUUGGGUUUAAGACAAUGGGUUUAGUUUAUUAUUUUUGGGUUUUGGUUUGGGCCAGAGGGUUGAAGCCCACCGAUUUUGUUGGCUAUCAUACAUGAUAGAUUGGCCCAUUUCGUUUGCUCUGGGUUUCCAUUGGGCUGGGGAGUUUUCGGUCCAAACAAAUAAGAAAAUGGCCUAAUGACCUGUUAGGUCAAGAAGUCUGGUGACGAAUUUUCAUUCCAGCCCCCUAACUUUUGAAUAUUUUCUCUAUGGCCCUAAAAACGUUUAACUUAUUUCAAUCAGGUCUAAUUUAAUUUCAAAUAGGCUCCUAAACUUUAUUUUUCUUUAAUGGUGACCCCAAAUCUUUGAGAUGAUUAUAAUUUGACCCCCAAAACUUUGUUAAUUUUUGCAAUUAAGUUCCUACUUGUUUUAAUUUCUUAAAUGUAGGUUGUUUACAUGAUUUAAUUGAUUCAAUUUCACGUUUAUUUUCAUUUUUUAUAAGUUUGUUAAUUAAAGUGAUCCCUUGACCUUUUUUAUUUGUUUUUUUGGAGGGUAAAUAAGAAAAUUUCCACUUCCUUAGAUCACCAAUUCAAGGGAGGUAUAUUCUAUCCUUUAUUUUUUAUUUCAUCUUAUUUGAUCUUAUGUGCCCUUAUGUGACUUUUAUGUGUGAUUGCAUGUCCUUUUAUGUUUUAUUUCAUUUAUUUAUUGUUUUGAUUUUAUAUAUUUAUUUUAAUUUAAUUUGUAAUUAUUUGGAAGGCAAUUAAAUGCCAAAAUUGUAAUAGUUAGGUUAUUAUUUUACUUCAUUCUUUAUUCCCUUUAGAUUGUAGUUAAGGCGCUCAAAUGUAAUAGUUAGGGUUUUAUUUGCUUUGUGUGUUUUGCAUGCUUAUGUGUUUACGUGUGUUACUCGCAUUUUUAGGGUCUUGCAUCUAGAUAUUAUACUUAUGUGCUAUGUGCUAUAUGUGAUUUAUGUGUUUAUUUGCUUUAUUAUGUUUUACAUGAUUUAUUUGAUUGUAAUAAAUGCAUGAUGUCACCACACUAGUCCCACGCUAGUUGUGGCUCUCUUUUUCCGAUACCACACUAGUCCAACGCUAGUUGUGGCCCCUUUUCCAGAGUUCUCACUAGGUUAGUAGUUCAAUGCUAGUGAGAACUUAUAGACAUAGGCUAGUCCAACGCUAGACCCUUAGGGACCAUCCUUGCGUUAGAUCAUAUUUGUGUGACAAUCAAUAAAUUUCAUGCAUAUUUUUUUCACUUGUUAGGAUCCUUAUCACGUUUGCAUGAUAUUUACCCUGUAUAUAUAUAUAUAUAUAUAUAUAUAUAUAUAUAUAUAUAUAUUUCUCAUUCCCAUGAGAGACAUAACAUUAGACUUGCAUUUUAUUUAAGAAAAGUUAGGAGUAGAUUAGUGCAUUUGCUUGAUUAAAUUAAGGAAAUUAUCUCUCGAAUAUGGGAUGUGGACGAGUGUGGCUUUCUAGUCUUAGCAUUCCCUCUAUUAAAGGGAAAAUUAAAGUCACGAGUAUGAGUUCUCCGCACCCAUUAUGAUGCAUUUCUUUAGGUCAUUUGUAUAUUAUUUUUUUUUCUUUUCUUCGAGUCUCAUCUUUUUCAAAUUUCAUGAUUUUUUCAAAAAAUCACUUUUGGACAUCGCAAUUAAUGCGAUUAGUGCCAAUCGAGUUGUGAAGAGACAUAUUGACUCUUUGGAUAACUACUAGGUCUAGAUUUGCAUCCAUAUAGUGACAUUCAAAUGUGAUAAAUUCUUAGAUUAAAAUAAGAAAAUUUUUUGACUAAAUCACGCAACUGGUCUUGGUUAGGUCGAAAGGGUGUUUUGGAUUAUUAUCCUUGCCUUUUCUUUCUUUAAAUGUGACACCCGAUCCUUUUUCUCUAAUUUUCGAAGACUUAGAGUCGUUUAAAAAGGGGUCUUUUCUACUUUUUUUUAAAAAAAUUCAUUUUAAGUGAUUUAAUACACCUUAAUCCAAUGGCGACUCUUAUUUUGAUUAAAAACUCUUUUUAAACUAUUUUUUUUGGUCAAAACCGUCGCACUUUCUAGUACCAUUUAGGUCAAUUUUCUUUAUUUAUUUUCUAAGAAAUAAAAAAAUUCCUUUUUACUCAAAAUAAAUCAAAAACCCAUUUUUCACACAAAAUAAAUCCAAAAUUCAUUUUUAUAAACUCGUUAUUUUUUUCAUUUAAAAAAAGGGGCGUGACACCCGUCUCAUCCACGGGAUAAUGGCGGAUGGUGGUUGUGGCAUCGUCUUUUGCAGCGGUAGUCAUGGGGAACACCACUUCCAUGGAUUCCGUUAGGGAUUUUGGUUCAGUUUCAAUGUUUCGGGGGGAGCCAGCCCUUCACAUUUCUCACUAGGAGAUAUCAUUGUUAGCUGCUCCCUUUCGUAACACACUGAUUGGCAGAUUCGGUCAUCACAGGCCUUCUAUGGACGUGAUGUGGAAAUUCUUUGUUUCAUUGGGUUUGAAAGGAGAAUGCUUGAUUGGUUUGCUUGAUGAUAGCCAUAUCCUAAUUUAGCGAACGCUGGAGGAAGACUAUACGAGGUUAUUCGCCCAUUCGUUCGUGGUUUGUUCAUAAUAUCCCAAUGUUGAUUUCAUACAUUGACUAUUUUUGAUGGGUAAGAUAAGACAAUCUUUUCCACCAAAUCACCAUUGCACUUAAAGUUUGAAAGGCUCUUUCCACGGAUCUCUAGUAAGUUCAAUUCAUCAAAUAUCCAACUUGUCCACGUGAAAAUAGCAAGUGUAGGAGCACGUGAAAAUAGUAUUGGCAGAGAGUUGAGUUUGGUGUCCAAAAAAAAUCUAAAAUAAAUUCAAUGGGCUUGGAAAUAAUUAGUUCAUAAGCUUUCCGAAAUCAACCAGUGAUACUAUUGCCCAACAAUUUCCCUGACUUCAUUUCUUCAUUGGCUUUUGAAAACAAUACCACCAUUAAGAAUUAACCUUUUCUUAUUGCCCUGGAUUAAAAACCAAAGUGGAGACAACGGACAUAAUUAACCCACUAUUUCUCUCAGCUAUAGCCUCACCCACACCCAUUAUAAUUCUCUUCCACUCCCUCUAUUCCCAUCCAAUUAGCAUCAGUUUUACCCCAACUAGCCCCAAGCAAUUCCAACCAGCGACAACAUAAAAAGAUAUAUGCACCCACUGAUGAUUGUCACUGUGAAUAACAUACGUAUAAAAAUAACUUCAACAAUUGCAACCAUGAAUCAAAUAGCAACACAAGAAGAAAAUGAGUAAAGCCAUGACUCAAACAGCCAACCAAAAAAAUGUGUCAGAAAAUAUUUUGAGAAAAAAAUUAGGGCAAAAUAAUUGGAGCAAAAAUUAGGGAAUGGCCACAAGCCAUGAGAUACCCUACCUGAGAGUUGGUGGAGAGCACAUCAAUCCCUUUCAGCAUUGAACGCACAAUUGGUGGAGAGUUUUCUUUCUUCUUUGGAGAGUGCAAAUAGCAAGUGUAAGAAGGUGAAGAGUAAUAUUGAAGACGUCUAGUACUAGUCAAAUAUAAGACCAUCCAACUCAAAAUAAGUUCCCACUUUGUAAUUACAAGUACUGCGCCAUUUUUUCCAUUUUUUUGUUUGAACGAAUUUUUGGUACUACUUAACAAGACCAUCCACGUCAAUUGUUAACUUUAAGUUUUAUUUAAAUUUACUAAUAUAUAUUUUUAUUACUAAUAUAUUUACGAACAACUGUUAGCUUUAAGUCAAUUUACUAAUAUAUUUACACUUCCUCCCCUGAAUCAUCAAACCCAUUUCUCCUCCUUUACUAAUAUAUUUAUAAUCACUAUUAUUUCUUAAUAUAUUUAUUAAAAAAUAUUCUAAUGGGUGGAAAAUUUUGCUAAAUUUAAACAACUAGUAAAAAAGUACUCUUGCUCAUGUUGUAAUAGUUUAUAUAGGUAUUCUAACUAGAAACUUUUGUUAAUUUUUUUAGUUAAAAAGCUAUUGCAAUUUGAGUAACUAUGAGUAGUUCAAUAAAUCACCAAAUUUACAAGAAAAUUAAAUUGAUAUUAAGGCACAGAAUUAAACAAUAACAUUGGCGAUGUUAAGGUAAGUGAUGAUAUGGUGUUGUCACUAACUGCACCAUAGUUUUAUUGACAAUAACGGGUUGUCAGUAAACUUAUACAGUGACAACAAUGAAAAGUUGUCAAAGAAAGAAGUAGAAAUACUGACGACUUUUAUUAAGUUGUCAUUAUCGUAAAACCUGUGCUUUUGGAGUCCUAUGGUGCGAAGUAGUUUUGUGACGACAAUUUGGAGUCGUCACUGAAUAGUUAGCUACUUUGAGUCAAUUGUGACAACCUUCAAUGUUGUGUCUAGAGAGCCCUAUUCUGUGACAACUUUCUGUUGUCACUAGAAAAUAUUGUCACUGAUGACCCUUUUUCUUUUAGUGUAUAUGGCAUCAUUACACUCGAAGGUUUGGUUUCGUUACACUAGAGGAGAUUCCUCUUUCUUACUUUCUUGGUUUCUAUCGCAUUCACGAGUCUUAGCAGGCCAUUUUUGGAUUCUUCUUCCUUUGGUGGUUCAAUGGUUCAUAUGGAAAGGCUGCAAUAAUGCUCGCUUCCAAGGUGCUUCCUUCAUAGCUUCUCAACUGAAUUUUCAGGUGGACCAAUUUAUGGAACAAAUGGGAGCUGCGAAGUUUUUUGAAGCCUCUCAAUUCUCUUGUGAUUGGGACUACUUGUGGUUUGGUUUUGUUCCUCUAUCACGGUUUAAAUCCAAGUUCUUUUCGGUUUCUUGGUCUAAGCCACCAACCCAUUCUCUCAAGCUGAAUACAAACGCGAGCAUAUCUCAGGUAGGGGCUGCAGGCGGUCGAUUGCUUCGUAAUCAUGAUGGGGAUCUAGUUUUUUCUUUUUACAAAGAGUUUGGAGAUGUUGAUGUUUUGAUGGUGGAAGAUUUGUCGUUGCUGAUCGGUCUUCAAUUUUGUAAGGAGCGUAUGUCCUACAAUGUUCUUGUGGAGGUCGACUCAAAGGUUCUUGUUCAAUUGGUGUCUUCUGGGUCAAUUGCUAGGUGGUCUUUAAUUGGCACUUUGUAGCAUAUAUGGGCACUUCUGAACGAGCUACAUGCUUCUUUGGUUCACAUCUAUAGGGAAGCCAACUCCUCAGCAGACAUUUUGGCAUCUUCUAGGCUAGAGUGCGAUUUGGUUUCCACAGUAUCCGAGCACCUACCAAUUGCACUUAAAUCCAGUGUGCAUCUUGAUAAGUCCUUAGUCCCUCAUUUGCGCAAACACCGUAUAAGGGAGCAGUACACCUUUUGCUUUUGUUUAUGUAGCUUAUAGGAGAAUUUUCGCCAACUCAUUGUAGUCUUUUUUGGUUUUGAAUAAAGCAACGGACUGGCAUCCCAUUAUCGUGUAUGGGGUUUCCAAAAAAAAAAAAAAUUCUAGGGUUUAAUAUGCACUUGAACUAUUUGUGUUAUUACAAAUGACAUCUUUAUCAUAUUGAUUGCUUAUAUUUAUGUAAGUAUGAUAAAACCCUUAGAGUAAACUUAUUUGAUGAAAUCAUAAGAGUUAUGAUGGUAAGGUUCAUUCGAUUAUAAAUAAGGUUUAUUCUUAAAUAUCCAUAGUCAAAGUAUUAAUAAGAAAGGGCAUUAUUAGUACAGUUAAACUAACAUAUACUAUGUUGUUUCUAUAUGAUAAGUAGUAGAUCUCAUCAACUAGCGUAUUGGACAUCUAAGGUAGUAUACGGGUGUUUGAUAGGAUGAUCAAAUUCACUAUAUUGAUCCGUAUAGAGAUAUCCUUUUUUUUAAUUUAUAUAUGUUAUUGAUAGGCAAGAGAAUAGGUGUUACAAUGUAGUUUGAGAAGGCCAUCGUGACAGCCUGUAAGGGAAAAUAAAUAAGGAGUACUUACUCCCUUACAUCAUGUCAUUAUUUUUCCAACAGUGAAGAGUGUAUUUUUUGAACCAAAAAGGACUAAGCGUGGAAGUUACUUCUUUACGUGCUUGACAUAUGAGAAAUGCCUCGAGUCUAGCCGUGUAAUCCCUAUAGUUCACGACUAUAGUGAGUGCGCGUCAAAGGUGCCCAACUUUUGUAAGUGUGCAGCCUGUAUUGCAAGGUCAUCCGUCUUCGUAUUAACCUCUCUGUAGUAGUGUGACAGGGCGAAUACAACCUAGUUUAGCAAAUUUUGAAUCCCUAUGACCUCCACAUCAAUUCUUCAUGGCCAGUUGUGCAACCCUUUAACAAUGUGCAACAAGACCAGAGAGUCCAUUUCUACCUCCACGUGAUUGCAGCCCAAGGUGAUACAUAGUUAUAGACCUUCAAGUAGUGCCCUAGUUUCAGCUUGCAUGUUUGUUUGACACCCAUAGUGCGAGGAAAAAGUAGCUAAAACUUGGCCACUUGAGUCUCUAACAAUCCCACCACUACUCGAGUUUCUCGGAUUCCUAGGUGAGGCGCCAUCAACAUUCAGUUUUAUGAAUCGAUCUGUAGGCGGCGACCAAGCGAUAGUUAAGCAUCUUGUGGGCUUGGAACACUUGGAGAUGAGUAACCAACGCAGUGGCUAGAGCUCCAGUCCAUUGUGGCUGUCCGAGGCAAAAAGGUGAGCAAAGGAGAUGAAAUGAAGCAACUCAAGUAUGAGGCAAAAAACCUAGUUAGCCGUCAAUACACCUCCUUAAUAGAUGGUUUUAUUCCUAGCUUUCCAUAGUUCCCAACAAAUUAGUAGUGGGAUAAUUUGAGUCAGCUCAGUUUGUAGCGACCCCUUGGAGCAGUGCGACCAUCAGCUUUGUAAUUGGAGCAUGAUGUCAUCGGAUAGUGCUGUCUGUAGUCCCAACUUCUGCUCCAUUUUCUCCCACACCUGCCUAACCAAUCGACAUUUAAGGAAACAAUGGGUAAGGAUGUCCUUAUUAUCACAGAACGGGCACUUUGAAGGGAGAUUGAAGCCAAACUGCUGCAGGAUAUCUGGGAAUGGAAGCAUAGAGUUGAGCAAUCUCCACAUGAAGAUCGAUAGCUUGAGUGGUAUCCUUCUACUCCAUAUCAAUCUCUUGGAGACCAUUGAGCUUGAGGGUUGUUGAAGCACUUCUAGCGCGGAGUACAGUUGGAAAGCGCCAUUCGUAGUCAGACACCACACCACCUUAUCCUUACCUUGGCAAAGUUGAGGAUGAGACCAUAAAAGCUAUAGUUUUUCAUCUUGCAUGAGUGCCGAGUCUACUUGGCUUAAGUCCCAACCAUUGUCAUGCAAGAAAUCACAAACUUGAAUGUGCGGAAAAGGCACCUGCCUCUUCUGGCCUGCAAGGGGCCUAGAACCAAUCCAAUUGUCAUGCCAGAAUGAGGCUCUACCAUCCCUUAAUAGGCCUUGUAGGUUAUCUUCCACCAAGUCGCGUACUCGUAACAUGUGUUUCCAACUAUAGGAGCUUGAAGGCUUCGCCGUAGCUAUAGAGAUAUGCUCAGAUGUAGCAUAUUUGGAGAGCAUGAACUGACACCAAAGAGUGUCGGAAGACCGCAACUUCCACCAUAACUUGCAUCCAAAGGCUUUCGCAAUGUCAUCUAGCUCGCAUAGCCCCAACCUGUUUUCAUGCGUGGGUUUGCACAAAUUGCUCCAUUUUGUCCAAUGCCGUUUGUCACGUCCAUCCAUUUCUACCCAGAAAAAGGCGGACAUGACCUUCUCUAAUUGGCACAAAACAUUUCUAAGCGGUUCUGAGACUGUGAGCAUAUACAAAGAGAUGGCCGCGAGUACGUGCUUGAUUGGAAUUAGGCACCCUCCCGUAGAUAGCAACCUUUUCUUCCACCCAACUAGUUUCCCUCUCAUCCUAUCCACGAUUUGUUCAAAGUGUUCCUUCUUACCUUUACCUUUGAAUAGCUUGCUAUCCAAGUAGACAAAGGGAAGAUCUUUUUGUUGGAACCUUGUCCAUCGAGCUAUCAACUGCUUCCUAGCUGUUGGGCAUCUGGAAGACAUCAUAAAAAAACUCUUUUCCUUAUUUAUCUUCUGGCCAGAGCCUCUUUGGUACAGCUCCAAAAAAUCCAUUAAGGCUUGAACAGUGCGUCUAUCUCCCAUAGAGAAAAUAGCAAUAUCAUUGACAAAGGCUAGAUGUGAUAUUGGCAUGCAGCCGCGGCCCAAAUCGAAUGGUUGUACUGACCUUGUCAAGAUCAUGUUCUUCAAACCCCGGCUUAGUGCCUCUGACAUUAAUAUGAAUAGGAACGGAGAAAGAGGAUCCCCUUGCUUCACACCUCGACUCACCUGGAAAAACCCAUAUGGCUUUCCAUUGACAAGGAUUGAGAACCAAGCAGAGGACAGGUUGUUCACAAUCAAGGAGGUAAAUCAAGGAUGGAAGCCGAACCGGUUCAUCAAGAGUGAAAAGAAAUCCCAUGAGACAUAGUCGAACGCCUUCAUCAUGUCGAGCUUGAGCAUAACGUUGUGUCCCUUAACCCUUUUGUCUAUCGAAUUAACUAGUUCCUGUGCGAGCAAGAAGUUAUUCGAGAUCUCCAUACCAUUGACGAAUAUCGAUUGCUUUAGGGAGAUGAGAAUGGGCAAAACAUUUUUUAAUUGAUUACCAAGAAUUUUAGCUAACACCUUGUUGAUGAAUGUACACAGGCUAAUCGACCUAAAAUCCACAAAUGUCGUCAGGGAUUCCUUUUUUGGGAUUAGUAUCAUGAGGGUGCUUGCAAUGCCUUUAGGGAGUGGAACACCACACAUAAAUUCUCGAGUAGCCUGAAGAACAUCGGUCGCAACUAGAUCCCAGCAAUAAGUGUAUAAACAUCCUGCAAACCCAUCACAACCAGCUGCACUACUACCAUCUAGGUCAAAUACUAGUUUUUUAACUUCCUCAAGUGAGACUUUAGUUAGAAGUUAACUAUUCUGUUCAGGCGUUAUAAGAGCAAGAAUAUUAUUCAGCAAUUCCAUAGAUGCUAGGUUGUCUAUGGCCGAGGGCUCUGCCAAUAAGGACUUGAAAAAUUCCACAGCUGCAGUACCAAUGGCUUCAUCGCCCUCAAUGGUGCUCCCAUUCUGGUUUUUGAUUCUUCUAAUAGCAAGCUGCGAUCUCUUGUCCAUUAAAGAGGAGUGGCAAUAUUUUGUGUUUGCAUUUCCCUCUUUUAACCACUUAAUUCUAGCUUUUUGCCGCCAAAAAUCCCUUUAUCCGCCAAGUGUUUCAGCAGAGCUGCAUGAGCUUGACUCCAUUGUAGGCGCGCUUCACAAGUGUCCUCACUUUCUAGCUGUAGUUCUUUUAGCCAAACCUCCUCUUCAGCUUUAGCUAUAUUAUCGAAGAUAUUCCCAAAAGUUGUCUUAUUCCAUGCUCGUAAAUCAAGCUUUAACCUCUUUAGUUUUGUGACCAAAAGAGGUAUUCCGUAACCUGGAGUCGACUGAGUCCAACUGCGUCGGACCACAUCUAAGAAGCUAGUGUGUUUGAUCCAUAUUUGUUGAAAUCAGAAUGAUCGAGUCCCAUAGCUGGAAAGCGGCUGGAGCUGCAAUAAUAAAGGGUUGUGGUCCGAGGUUGCACGGUUAAGAUGCUGGACAGCGGAGUUUAGGAAGAGGCGCUGCCAUUCUAUGUUCAUAAGGAGCCUGUCCAGUCUUUUCCAAACCUAGCUAUCGUGAUGAACUCCAGUCCAAGUAUAGCGACUCCCAGAUAAAGCAAUGUGUUUCAAACCACAUGCUGAAAUGCAAUCCACAAAUUUCGAUAUUGCAUUCAAAUCAAGUGGGGCUCGUCCCAAGUACUCGUCAAUGGAUGCAGCAACAUUGAAGUGACCACCUAUCAACCAUGGCUUGGACACCAGGUUACUCGAUAGGGCAACCAAAUCCAACCAUAGAGAUCUUCUUUCAAUGCUUGAGCAUUUCACAUAGAUAAAGAAGCAAUAAGACACACAGUUCCAGGACUCAUGCAUGAGCGCUAAAUGGAUAUAUUGAUCUACAUUAACAAUAACAUCUACUGCCAACCCACGCUUCCAUAUUACCCAAAUCUUAUUGGAAACAUUACAAACCCCUAGGUUGAAACGAAGCUUUGAUGUGGAGCUGUCCAAUUGAUCGGGCUUAACCAUAGGCUCUAAGACUACUAAUAACAAUACUAAAUGCAAUCUUAUUAAGUUCUUUAAUUGACGAAUAGAGGCUCGACUAGCGAUGCCCCAUACGUUCUAGACUAUAGCGUAAAUCGUGAUAGGAUUGGGAGAGAGUUUCUAAAGUUACCUUUGAAGAUAGCCUUGACACUACUGCCUUGGGUAAGUCUAAAAAUGGCCUUCGUCACCCGCGUUUAGAUGAGGGUGCCACCUUCUAGGGAAUUGGAAAAAGAUGAUCAACUUGUUUCUUGAACCGAAUGAAAAUUCUCCAUUUGUGGGUCGCGUGGCUUGCUGCGCUGUUUUUGUCCCUUAACAUCCGACAGUGAGUCCAGGCUUCCGCACCUCAAGGAGAGUAGUUGGUGGUCAUCCACGAGGGUAUUGGCUAGACUAUUGUGGUCAGGUAGGAGUGGUUGUAUCUGUGGGUCUGAUUGCUAUGGCUCACAUCAAUCUUCCAAUGACCGCUGCUGUACCUCCUCUCUGUGCAGCGAAGAUGAUGCUUGCUGUAGCUUGCUCUGGCAUUAUUUUUUUGGUAUUGGCAGCGUUGGUAUUUUUGUUUGUGUGACCAAGCAUAGCCUGUUCGUCCAUGUGGAUUGUUCCUGAGGAUCGCUCUGGACAUGGUCCUAGUCCUUAGCCAUCUGUGCAGUCUCCUGGUAUAGGUGGGGGGCCUGUCCUUGGGCCUGUAGAUUGGCCAAUAAUUGUGUGUUAAUAGUAUAUUAUCACCUGAUCAUUAGCCAGCAACUCUUUCUCUUUUGCCAAGGGGUGGUUCACCUCCAUCAAGUGGUUAUGGGUUUCCCUUGGGACCCAGAUUCCAGAUUCUCUGCUACCCCAACUCUUGUCAUAGAUUUUCAUCUUUGUUGCUAGGCUGUUUCGGUGCGUCAUUCAACUGUCUACAUAAUUUGUCUAAGUGACCCAACUUCCUGCAAUGCUUACAGUAAUCAGGUUGGUUUUCAUAAUCGAUUCGCUACCAGAAUCCCAUGGAGCCAUUCCGAAUCUAUACUCAUUCAGGAAAGGGUCAUAACAGGUCCACUUCAACACAAAUUCUAGCCACGCUUGGCCUAGCUAGUGUCGUUGUCGAUGCAUCCAUGCAUAUGGACUCCCCAAUCAGUUUUGCAAUGGAGAAUAAAGGCCUUUGUUAAAAAAGUGGAUUGGGAGGCAAUGCAGAUGGAUCUAGAUGGGAACAACCGAGAAUUCAGUGUCAACUGAAAAAUUUAGAGAUCAUUUAAAAACUCUCAUACCAAAUCCUUGAAAGGACCAGAAGCCUUGCAGCCAGUAUCUAUGAAAGUCGUUUUCUAAUUUGAAAUGGAUUAGAACAUGUCUUGUAUCAAGGAGUCCCAAGGAGAAAGGACCCUUGAAUCCAAUAGUGACGAAGUCCUUUCAGAGGGCUUUCAUUGAUGGCCGGUCCUUGGAGAAUUUUCCAACAAAAGCAAACUUGAAAGGAGCAGACAGAAGCUGAAUAUCAUCAUCCGAGAAGGAGAUUGCUAGCUCUCUCUUGUAUAAUUCAUGAGGCUUGAGGAAAGAGGUGGCCAUUAGGGUAGAGUUCUAAGUGAUGUUUGUGUAAUUGAUCUUUAGAUGUAAGAUUAUCAUGGUAUCUUAAGUAUGAAUAGUUAUACUUUAUUUGUUAUAUGAUUACUCCCAUAAUAAGGAAUACUCACAUUAUUAGCAAAUGAGUAUAUACAUGAAGUAUGGAAAGACGGUGAAUAACCUAAAACUAUUUGUCACCUCUUAUAGAAGAAGAAUUAUCUCAUGUUUGGCUACUUAUAGAAGUGUAACUCAAAAUUCUUCGCACAAAUUUAUUAUCUGCACAAAUUUUUUUUUCUGAGGGCUCGUUUGUACAACUUCAAAUGGCAUUAAAUGCAUAGAUAUUAUGGAAUACAAGAAGCUGUUACAUGAUUUUCUUGCGGUAAGUUUGUCUUACUUGGGUUAUGGUCUGUGGUGUUUCUUUUAAGUUAUUUUACACAAUGCGGGCAAUCUUUCAUUUGGAUUGCAUUUUCUAGGGAGUUUUUAGGGGAAAAAUUACUGUGGCAUUUUUUAAGGAUGUGAUGUAGAUAAUGUAAAAAAGUGAUUGGAAAUUAUGUACAAGGAAUAUUUAUAGAAAAUAACAAAAUUUUUUUUUUUAGAAAAAACACAAUCCAAACGGGGUUAUUUCAUUCGUAACAAUGAAUGUUGUUGUAUUGAAAUUUUUGAUAAUGAAAUUGCUUCUUCUUAAUCUGGAUAAAUAAAUUUGAAAAUCGUUAAUUAUAUGCUUAAAUUGACUUUAUUGUGAAAAAUUACAUGCUUAAACUUAUCCAUUGUAGAACUUGUUACGAGACCAUGAAUUAUUUAUUCUUAUUGAACUUUAGUUUGAUGCUUAAUUCGGCAAUCUGCAUCUUAGAGAUAGCAUUAUCUACAAAUUAAGUCAAUACUAGUCAUAAUGAAAAGGUUAAAAGAAAAUUACAAAACUUAUGGAAUUUGAGGUUACAAAGUGAUACUGACUUUUUUUUACGUUGUAGAGAAAUUAAUUUUUAUUAGAAUUAUAUUAUACUUUUCCCAUGAGAGUUUUUGCUCUCUGUGGGCACUUCUUUGCGAAUGCAAGUUUCCUUCUUCCCUAAAACUCUAGUGGAGGUUUUUUCAUCUGCUUCUCUCUCAACCUUUUGUGAUGAUCCCACCUCCCCUUAGGACGAAUCCAGAGGUUUGGUGAACCGCCUACCUAACUCUCACCAGGACUCGCUUACUCACUUCAAUAAAACGAGUUAUAAAUUCAAAAGUAAGUGAAACAACAGUUCCCAAACUUAGAAUGUACAUUUACCUAGUUCUAUCUCAAACAUUCAUACAUUUCCCAAUAUAACAAAAGAUUCAAGUUCUAAAUAACUUUCAACCCUAAUUGAGCACUAAUGCAAGUACAAUUACAAAAGUCAAAAACUAGACAUCACCAGUCUGUACCAGCCUUACGCCUAUGCUCGUACCCCCUGUAAGGAAAACAAAACUAAUAGGGUGAGUCAAAACUCAGUGAGGUUCCAAAAUAUCAAGCGAGUUGACCAUUGUAUAAAAUUUGAAAUAUUAAAGUAGCGAGCAUAAAAGUUCAUAAAAGUGAGCAAUAACACUUCAAGUAGCAAAUUAGAUAAAUAUCCAACAUUUUCAAGUAUAAGGAUACAGUCGCUUUUGCGAGCCAACUCGGCCAUACGUUGCCAGGAAGUAGUCGACACUCCGUCAACUUUCAAAGUAAUGUAACCAGUCCAGUAGAGCACCACUUAACUCCAAUCUCCAUCCACCAUCCAACCCCCUACCGGGCCCGAACUCCAAUAUAAACAGUGGUGGUAAUACUCGAGCAUACCAAUUAGUCGAGGAGAUAACACUCCACUUGACAGAACAGGAGACCCAGGGUUCGUUAUUUAAUCGACCAGGCCUUUGUCGGCUCGACUCGAUUAACUGGCCAUAGGGUUUUUGGAAUUCUAGAUAGUAUUCAAGUCAUAUACAUGUAUAUCAAGUCAAUUGUAAUCAAUGCACAGUAAUAAGUCACAUUAGAGCAAGUGCGAUAAAGUACACCCUUGUCCGACCAAAUAAGUCAAGUAUUAUUCAAUCGCAUUAGCCAAUCAUUUCAUUCAAGGAUCAAAUUCAAUCAUGCACUGGAAAACACUCACCAAUGAUUUAUUGCUUUCCAAGACCAAGUUCAGGUUAACUCCCUGACUGGAGCCUAAAUCUACGGUAAAAUACCGUUUAAUAGUUUGCAAUCAAUUAGGGUUUCAAAAUAUAGGAGUUUCGCUUAAAGAAAACUAAGUAAAUAGAACUCAUUUAAGUAGUACUCGUUUUACUUACUAAACCUUAGAAAAUUCAUGCUCGUUCUUUUGGUUUCGAUAAAGGAGCGGUUAAAACUUUUAAGUUCGCAACUUGGUAUAAGAAACUAGGAAAUCUUGUUUAAAGUGGUCGUUACUUUGUCUUUGAAAAAUAUACACUUUUGAGCAAAAUUUUAACUUAUAAGUCACCCAUAAGGUCAACCUAAGCAUCUCUACAUAACUAAGUCCCGAAUUGAGUACAAGUCACAUCCAUAUUUCUGCUUUCACUCACUUAUCCCAGGAGAGGAAAAACGGUCAGCAUUUCCUUUGUGUUUACCUAAUUUUUCAGCUAUUUCAAGGCUACAUCUUCAUCCCAAAUCAGCCCCAAAUCAACACCACAAGUAACAAGAUAAAAGCAGCUCUUAAUCUAGGCCAUAAACCUUCCAAUUAAAGCUCACUUCUAGCAUAUAUACAUCACAAUAUCAAAGCUAAAAAAAUCUCUAAUAAAGCUGGAAUUUCAUAUUUAAAAGCUAAAGAGUCACAAUAAGGCCACCAAUCAUCACACAAGUCCAUAACCAAGCUCAAUACGAACAUAUCAUGGAUAAAAAACAUAAAUCAAGGCAGAAAAAUCAUAAACCCUAAGCUGAUUUUUCACUAAUCUUCACCAAAUCCAAAUUAUCAUCCAUAAAAUUUCAAGUUUCAAGUCAUCUUCACCAUAUUUGGCAAGAAUAAGAAAGAGAAAGGAAGUUGUUCAUCUUAUACCUUCACCUCUUGAAGAAAAUGAAGAAACCAAGGCUUCCUCUCCAAAAACUCUCCGCUACAAGCUUCCUUGGUACGAGUUUGUUCGGUUUAGUUUUGUGAUUCUAACUUAAACAAGGCAAGAAUCAAGAUGGAAAUGGAAGUUUAUCUCCUCUCUUUUAUCUCCUAGUGGUUCGGCCAUGACAAGAAAAAAUGGAGGAAAAUUGGCCAAAAGAAAGAUAAGAAGGAAAGAAAGUUACUUUGGUCAAACUUGUCUUGGAUUGCCAACACUUGGCAACCAAGUUUUUUUUUUCUUUUCUUUCCUUUUCUUAGUCAACAAUUUCGGCCAGCUUUAGGGUUAGAUUAAGGGAGGAUUAAAUGAAACAAAAACAAGGAGAUUAGGGUAAGAAAGUAUUGGUCAAGUGGGGUACUCAACCGGUAACAAACGGCGCACGUCGGUUCAAGUAUACUUUCUUAACUCUCUUGUACUUUUGUUUUAACUUAUGAUUCAUUAACUUAUUUUUAGCACUUCUAAUCACAUAUUUUCUCUUACUUAAUACCCACUCUUAUCCACCAAAUUUAGUACACAUACUUCACCAAGUGAUCACACUACCAAAAUGCACAAAAAAACCCUAACUUACGCCAUUCCUUUAGAAAAAUCAUAACUUGAGUUAUAAAUGUCAAAAAUUCAUACAAUUUGGCCUGUUAAAAACUAGACUUGAAAUACUAAUAAUCUUUAGAAGACACCUUAAAGAGAUUCAGUUCAUAAGUUGGUCCAAAUUGAGCCGUAAGCUACUAUAACAUUCCUAUUUUUACUUGUGCAGGGCAGAAUUUUCAGUCAACUUUGCCGAUUUUAUGGUAUUUAUAGAAAUUGAAUCAAACUUUGAAUUUUAUACCAUAGGAAGCUCUAUAAGUCUAGUUUCAAAUGCAAUAAAUGAAACUCAAUUUUGACUUUUCUAUACGAAAUUAUAGCCAAUUUCCCAAAACUGCGUAGAGCCUCCUGCGAAAAUUUCUAGAUUUUCUAACAACUUGAGAAAAUGAAACUUUUAUUAACAAAAUUCACUCCCUUGGCUCAAAUUCAACAUACAUGUGAAGAUUAAGGUUUAACAAAGUAUCUUAAACAAAACCUUGCCAAAAUCAUCAUAAAAUAACUAAUAUUUCCACAUAGAAGCAUAUAUCAAACUCGCCAUAAAUCUCCCCAUCAAGCUACUAAGGUUUUCAUGAAAUGUACCUAAUCCUUCCUCUUUAUCAUAUGAAGAGACAUCUAGCAUGAUUCUUAACCAAGAAAUCCACCAAAUGUAUCAUACAUAUCUCACUUGUCGGUUACACCAGUAUCGUGCACUAUGAAACUUAACAUGCAUCCAAUUAAGCAUGCACCAAGUUGAAUAAUAUAAUGGAAGAAAAAUCAUGAUUGAACCAUUAAAGCAACCAAGAAUUUAAGGCAAGUAAGUUCAAAUAAGAGUUAUAAAGACAAGUAAAAUUUCGGGGUCUCGCACCUUUUCACUAACACCUCUCUCAAUUAUAUCUAAUACUCAUAUCCUUCGUAUUCCGUUCUACCUUUUCUCAUUAUUAACUAUGAUUCUCUUCUUUGCUUUAAUUUCUUUUAUUAUCCUUUUUUUCAUAGUUCUUCCUUCCAUUUUCCUUAGUUUUUCUACCUCUAGCCUUAUCUGUUCAUAGCCUUUAUUUCUUUUGUGAUUUGUAGGUUUUUAGAUUAUGAAGAAUUUUGU
rnacentral:lncRNA from 1 species